AUUAUGAUUGGGGAGGACAGGCUGAUUCAUUUCUCCGGGGUUGCGAUGGGGCAAGCAUGCACCAUUGUCCUGAGAGGAGCAAGGUAUGCCUUAUUUAUUUUUGGUGUAGCUCCUUAUCAUGCAGUGAUAAUAUUGUAUUAUUCAGGCAUUCUGUUUUGUUUGGCUGCAAACUGAAUACAUGUGUCUUGUUGUCUACAGUGAGCAUGUACUUGAUGAGGCGGAGAGGUCCUUGCAUGAUGCCCUAUGUGUGCUUUCUCAGACGGUAACUGACACGCGUGUCAUAUAUGGUGGUGGAUGGCCUGAGAUGGUGAUGUCCAAGGAGGUGGACGAACUUGCAAGGAAGACCCCUGGGAAGAAAUCUCAUGCGAUUGACGCCUUUUCGCGCGCCCUGCAAGCCAUCCCAACAAUCAUUGCUGACAAUGCUGGUCUGGAUAGUGCUGAGCUGAUCUCCCAGCUCCGAGCCGAGCACCACAAAGAGAACAGCACUGCUGGAAUUGAUGUCAUCAGCGGCGGGGUAAGCUCACUGAGAAGACUCCGACUUGCUAUGUAGGUAGUUACAACACGAGUGAUUUUUGAAACUAACAUGGUCUAUUGUGGUGCAGCUGGGAGACAUGCAGAAGCGCGGGAUAUGCGAGGCGUUCAAGGUGAAGCAGGCCAUCGUCCUGUCGGCGACCGAGGCCGCGGAGAUGAUCCUGAGGGUCGACGAGAUCAUAACCUGCGCCCCGCGCAGGAGGGAGGACAGGAUGUGAGCGCUGUCUCGAUGCAGCGCUCUCUUAUGUAUGAUGGUUUGCCGAGUUUUGGCUGGGUUGCUGUGGUCCACGACUGCUUUAAAGUUUGAUCGACCCCAUUUCGAUUGUCGUUGAACCCUGACCCCUAAGCGACUGGAACUUGUAGCUGCUAGCGUUGUUCUGUAGGGAGUGGCUUGGUUUUCUUUCGGUUGAUUUUCCACUAAGAGGAUAUAGUGAUGUGUAAGUGUAACCUUGUUUUAUGUGCAUCUUUUGCAUGCGGAGGACUUAGUUAAGAAGAUGCAUGCAAUGCUACGAGUUUUCAGUUUUCCAUGUGUUUGCUGUACUUGCUGGAUAUCUAUCAGCCGUUGCUAGCAGUGUGUUGGACAUGGCACAUGUAUGGCUGGAAUCGGGCCCAGUUUUGAUUGUGAUUGUGCCGAAACAAGAUAGGACAAUCUGUGCGCAAUCUGUGCGCUUGGAGUGUUUGAUUAUCUGUUUGACAAGUGUUUUCUUAUUGUCGACUGAUUAAUAUCGGUUCUUCUUAUCUUCAUUAGCUAGUUCUAUUGGACGUCUGGACCACAUUCAGUUGUGUUGUGGACUACUUGCUAGUAAAGGAGCUUGGCUUACAUAAAACUGUCAUUGCCAGAACAAACCCUGAUAAUCUAUCUGCCUAGAAGUUCCUAAGUACCAAAAUAUUUUCUUUUUCUUUUUGAAAUAGCAGGAUUCCUGCAUUCAUUAAGAAAAGAGUUUCUCAGUUAAUUGGGGGAAAACCAGACUGCACGUUUAGUUUAGUUAUAUGGAGAACUACGCAAAACCCAUCACAACCGCUGAGCGGCACACAUAAGAUACCUCACGCACACCACGCCAACGAGGGCCUCAACGAGACAUCGCGUAGGCAUCAUCGUCAUCACUCCUCCCCUGGAGGCGUUAUCGCUGCCAUCCCUACACCCCGAGCAAACGACUCCCACUUUGCCGUACGCGAUCGUCGACCCGACCCACACUGAAGAGGCCGUGGAGAGAUGCAUGAAGAUCUGUGCCAAAACUCAGCCACCUGUGACUAGGCAGCGCACCUAUGACUAGGUACGGCUAGCGCCGCAGAAAAUCAUCGAACGAACCAUCUGCUGCCCGUCAUCAUACGCCACCGGGCCCCGCCACCACAACUUCGACUUUGCAGCAACAAACCAACCGAGAUAAUCCCGCGGACACGCUGGAGAAAAGUGGACUACCUCAACCAUAGCCACGACUCCGACAUUGCUCCCCCCAUCAUCUUGCCACAGAAGCCUCGAAGCCAACACCAUCGUCUUCCGCUAGUCCUGCUUGUCAAUACCCAUCUCCAAAGAUGAAGCCCCAAGGGAGAAUACAACACCAAGGCGCUGUCAUCUUCCAAUCAAACAANNNNNNNNNNNNNNNNNNNNNNNNNNNNNNNNNNNNNNNNNNNNNNNNNNNNNNNNNNNNNNNNNNNNNNNNNNNNNNNNNNNNNNNNNNNNNNNNNNNNNNNNNNNNNNNNNNNNNNNNNNNNNNNNNNNNNNNNNNNNNNNNNNNNNNNNNNNNNNNNNNNNNNNNNNNNNNNNNNNNNNNNNNNNNNNNNNNNNNNNNNNNNNNNNNNNNNNNNNNNNNNNNNNNNNNNNNNNNNNNNNNNNNNNNNNNNNNNNNNNNNNGAUGCCUCCAAGAGGGUACAUAAUGGCUACCACCACUGCCAUCACUGGUCACGGCCACGACCAUUACAGGGUUUUCACCCAAGCACCCGGCACCACCUCAUCCGCACAUCAUCUCACGACAACACCCACCUAGCACCACCACCGAGCCAGCUCGCAGACGAAGAAGCCCAUUGUCGGGGCAACCAACCACACCUUGCAGAGGCCACCGACCAGCACCAGCCGCUAGAUCAUUCAACCUCCGACGGAAAGCCGGAUCACCGGAUGCAGCACGAACCGCCAAUCCUUGCCGAGCACCACGCCUAGAGGAACUGGGCAAAUUUAAGACAAGAUUUUUUUGCGCAGGAGGGAGUAUAUAGCACAAGUUCGGAACCAAAGGGAUUGUAGAAACCAUUCUUCUUAUACCAUACAUCACAGUAGCAGAGACAUCUGCUUCGGCUUCGGAGAUAUGAUAUUAUACUUAUCGAGUACUCGUUGCAAAUUAUUAUAUGAUUAAUUUAUUCAGUAGACCUUACUCCCUUCAUUCCACAAUCUAGUGCGCCUGCGUUUUCCAAAAUCUAAGUUUGACCAUGAAUUUGUCCAGCAAGACCGACUGCGGCGGGAGCAAAACUUAUACCACUGGAUUCGCUAUUUCGAUACAAAUUUGGUGGUAUAAUUUUUGCUCUCGCCGCAGUCGAUCUUGUUGGUUAAAUUUAUGGUCAAACUUAGAUCUCGGGAAACACGGUCGCUCUAUAUUAUGGAACGGAGGGAGUACUUUAGUGUAGGUAGUGUGAGUUAAUUAGGUAGUCUUGAUAGUCUUUCAUAUAAUCUCUUCUUCAAUCCUAGAAACAAAAAAAGGAACAUUCUUUAGGGACAUUUGGAUACCAAGAUUUUGGACCUUGUACUUUCAUAGUUAUGAAUUGCGAAAUAGAAUCAAUUAUGAAAUUAAUUAGUAUGUAUCCCUCAUCCCUAUUGGGAUCGCUUUGAACCACUAUCCAGAACCCUGCGAGAGCCCUAUUUUAAAGAAGAAAUUGACAGUCUUUUUUAAAACUAGAACUAUGGUAAAAUCCAAUAUUUACAGGACUAGUUCUUUUAUUUUGCUUAUGUAGGUAAGAAUUUGUCAAGUUCAAUCAGUACAGUAAGAAAUAUUAAGUAUUUUUUUGUCCGGCGAGACCAAGAUUUGGACUGGGGAUAAAGGAUUUGCAGUCCCCUGCCUUACCACUUUGCCAUGCCGCCAAACCCGAGCCAAAUUUGAGCAAAAUCUUAUUCAUCCACAUUAUCUUACUAAUUGGUAUUCGUAGGAAGUGAUUAUUACACCCUUUUCGAUUUUUUUAUAUCGUUGAAUCCCUUUGUACUUAUCCCUUUUCAAUCCCUUUUAAUAAAUUCAUUCCUGUUUUUUUUAUUGGACCCAGUUUUAUUCUCUUGGAUUGAUUGUACUCCUAUCUCAAAACACACAUUGCUUAAAUACCUUUUCUUUCUAUUGAAAAAAAGAAAAGAUUUCCAGUCACACACUGCCAAAUUUAGGAAAAAUCGGAACCAUAUUCCUACGAAGCAUUCCCCUUUGCUUACUAAGACAGGCAUGUAUCAGAUUCCUAUAGCACUUACAAACGCGCAUGAGUCUCUGUCCGUUCGGAAAGUUCCAAAGUAGCACAAGAUUCGGACGCUCUUGCCGCCGCAGCAGCUAGCUAUAGGUGAAGCCUGAUCUCAAAGCCCUUUACUCUUUUUUCAGCCGGGAUCUGGUGGGGCAAAAAGACUAAAGCAUGGGAGUACGCCACACUAAACAUCCACGCAAUAUGAUAUGCUCAAAUGGCACACCCAGCUGCUACCUAAGCAAAGAAUAAUCAGGCAAGCAUCGAUCUUGUUGAUGAAUUGUGUUGCAAGUUGCGCAUCCGUGCAUGCCUUUAUGUCCUCCUGUAUAAUAUGACCACCGUGUUUGGACUUUGGAGUGUGCUGCCGUAGCAACGAAAAUAGCCAGGCUCCAUGCAUGCAUGCAGCGUGCGCGCGCACACACCACAAUGGACGGCUUGCUCUCCUCGGCUAGGAAUUGGGUUAGCCGCGGGCACUUCGGCCAGACGCUGCGUGAUGGCACAGCGGCGGCGCCUAGUCCGCCGCCGGGCGCCAACGACUCCGAGGUGAAGGGGGCGAUAGUGUUCACGUUGGUGCUCAUGGCGAUCCUGGGCGGCACACUCAGCGUGGUCGCCCUUGAGCGCCUCAUCCGCGGCCGCUUCACCCUCUUCUCCGUCGUGCGCACCCUGUUGCGCUCCACCUUCGUCCUCUUCCUCCCCCUGCUCUCCUACUUGUUCUCCCACUCGCAGGGGCACCAGGAGGAGCUCCUCUUCUUGCUCCUGUGGAUGCUCCUCAUCGAGCUCAUCCGCAAGAAGGUGCACGCAAUGGUGCAGUCGUCCGCCGAUGGCUCCUUCUCCAGGGCCUCCGGCCGGUUCCGGCUCAUGGACCACUCUGAUGAGGCUACUCGCCUGGUUUGGAUCGGCUACCUCAUGUACUCAAACAUCGACACAAAUGAUGAUAAGGUAAUAUGCUUUCUUUCUCCGCCUCAUCGAGAACUAGGAAUUUCCCAAAAUUAAUCUGGAAACAUACUCCCUCCGUCCGAAAAAACUUAUUUCUCAAAUGGAUGUAUCCAGCACCAGUACAUCCAUUUAAGAAACAAGUUUGGGACAGGCUUUUUCGGACGGAGGAAGUACAUGCUAAUCUAGGUAAACUUGUCACCUACGAGUGCCCAACCAUUGUAAGAGCAUCUACGAUCAUUGUUGCCUAAUUUAAGGCCCUAUAUGCCCACGGACGUGUAACCGGGCAAUCCCCAUUAAUUUCUCUUUGUCUACAACCGUAGUCCCCAUAUGCCCGCACCCAAAUUCAUACAAAGCAUGCAAACGUAGAUCAUCAAGGUGACAAUAGCUCGAACAAGAAUUAUAUAUAUAUAGCAGGAUAGACAUAGUUCACGCCGGGCAUACUUCAUCGGACCUAAAAGACAUAGUUCACGUCGGGCAUAGUUCAUGAGAGCCAAAGACAUAGUUCAUGUCGGGCAUAGUUCAUUAUAGCCAAAGACACAGUUUGCAGGAUAGAUUACUGGAUACAAACUAUAUUAGCUAGAGGGGGCAGAGAUCACCAUUUCUUGUCUGGGCCCUUGCCUUUGCAGUAUCCGGAGCGGUGGUACAUCUGCUGUGUGUAGGCGUCCGCGGAGGGAGGAUCCUCAUCGUCAUUUUUCGUGCCGGUGGUGCUGAUGUCCGACGUCGAGGAGAUGUAGCCGGAGAGGCGGUGGAUGGCGCGGUCCCACUCCUUCGUGUGGUGCUCUGCCCUGGUCUUAGCAAUCUCAUUCUCCCUCGCAAGGCGCUUCGACACCUCGAUCCCGAGCCAAAGCGCCAUCACAUUCUUGUGCUGGAGUCGCCUAGCGUCCGUCUCCGCCGAGGUAAGCCAACGACACAUGACCUCGCGGAGGAGGUGCUCCUUCGGGUCGACAUGGACGAAGCGGGCACGUGGGUGGGAAGGGUCGGCCUCCGCCUCCCUCUACAUGGCCCACUGCCGCUCGCGGCCAGCGGCCUUCGCCUCUGACUCCGAUAACUACAUCCUCUCAGUAGCCGUGGACACGAUCACACGAGCACCCAGCUCGACUCGGGAGGAGCUGGCGCCGAAGGGGAAGGAGAGAGGGCCACCCUGCUCUGAAUUUGGAGCGGUGCAGAGCUGGACGACCGAGCAAGUUAGGUCGCAUUGCUACGGCUGGACAAAGAGGAGCUGGCGGCGGAUGCGUGGGGCUCGAGCUCCCGCCGGUGUCCAGCAGGAAGCCCUUGAUGGCGAUGCGGAGCGUGAGCUCCUCAUCGUCUGACACUUCACUACCAGAGCCUCCUUCACGAGGGCCAUCCUAGUCCAUGGGAUCAGACUCGUUGUGGGAACUGUUGUUAGAUCUGGCCAUGGCGAAGGGGGCGGAAGAGAUUGGGAGAGGAAGGGGAGGAGAGAUGGGGAGCGGAGUAGGUGAGAGGGCUGGGAGGAGUGGGGUUUGACUAGGGUUCGUCAGAUCGGUUGGUGUUUUUGUGGGGACAGUGGUGGGGGAGGUGCAGGCCAUAGCGGGCCGGUCCUACUUGGCGGCGGUGUCCGGGCGCGUACGUGCCUCCUCAUAUCAUCCCCCUCUCCCGGGAUUGCCGACAUUUGGGAUGGUUGUGGGUCGCCUGGUUGGGUGCUGUUUUUGGUGUGAGCAGUGACUUGGCAGCCGGCCCGGGCAUUGGGGGCAUAUAUAGGGCACCCAGUUGUAAAUGGUCUAAGAAACCAAAAUGUGUCAGUGCCGUUGGUUAGCUAUUGAUCUCUUAUAGGCGUAGCAUGGUUGAUAGUAGACCAAGUGCUCGCUGUAUCUUUAUGUCAUGUAAUCUAUAGUCAACCUAGCUAAUAGCUAACAUGCAUGGUCCAUUUCACACUCUUACAAUGUUUCUUGGAGUGGUGCUCUUAAUCUACAACCUAUUUUCCUGCUCAUACUCCCUCCGGUCCUUUUUAGUCUGCAUAUAAGAGCAUCUCCAGCCGUUGUGCCCCCCAGGAGGCAUUUUUUCGGCCUCCUGGGGAGGCCCCAGCGCUAACUUUGCGUUUGGGUGCAAAAUUUUUCCAGCCGUUGUGCCCCCCAGGACUCGCACGGCCGCGUCUUUGUCUUCCGCCGCCUCCUCCCGGUUCGCUGGCUGCUGCGGCCUCCACCCGGCUCCUCGUCGCGGCCUCGACGACGCCCCUGUGCUCCACCUCGAGGCGCACCACGCCGACCGCUCCCGCUACGUGCUCUCCUACGACGCUGCUAGGAGCGGGGCGGGGCCGAGCAGUGGCUGCUGCUGCGCAUGCACGCGCUGGCUAGCACGCGAGAGCUCCGAGCACGGCGUCGCGACACCACGCACGCACGCGACAGUGAUGGCCAGCAUGCGGCGGCUGCAGCCACCAAACCCGACCAGCAUGCAAGCCUGUGCAUGCUCGUGCGGCUGCGGAGCCCGGCCAACACGCCCGCGAGCAAUGCAAGCAUGCACGCGGCGGACAGCGACAGCCAGCACGCGGGGAGCAGGCUAGCCGCGCCGGCCUCUCAGCGCCGGGGCCCAGGAGCAGCAGCAGGACCACGCGAGCCGAAGGUAGAGCUGGAGCUGGAGCGCCCGGCGAGCCAUGUCGUGCCGUCCUCGUCCUCCGCCGCGUUGUCCUCAUCCAUGCGAGCAGCCGGCCAGGGCGAGCUGGAGCUGGAGCGCCCGACGAGCCGUGCCGUGCCGUCCUUGUCCUCCACCGCGUCGUCCUCGUCCUCGGCCAUGCCGUGGAGCUGGAGCUCGACCGCCCGGCGAGGGCGCCGUGGAGUGCGCGGGCGGAGACGGCCCACUACGGCUGUCUUGCCCGGCGGCCCGUUCGUCCAGCCGUGCGGGAGCGGCGAGGAGGCGUGGUGAGGGCGCACGACAGCCAAGGCGAGGGCACGCGAUGAGCGCGGGCGGCAAGGAGGCGUUGCGGUCAGUGUGAGGGCUCGGGGGGCAGCAAGGAGAUCGCGGCCAGGAGGCGUGGCGGCGAGCGCGGCCGGAGCGAGGAGCUCUGCUUGCUGCUUGCGGAGAGAGAGAGAGAGAGAGNNNNNNNNNNNNNNNNNNNNNNNNNNNNNNNNNNNNNNNNNNNNNNNNNNNNNNNNNNNNNNNNNNNNNNNNNNNNNNNNNNNNNNNNNNNNNNNNNNNNNNNNNNNNNNNNNNNNNNNNNNNNNNNNNNNNNNNNNNNNNNNNNNNNNNNNNNNNNNNNNNNNNNNNNNNNNNNNNNNNNNNNNNNNNNNNNNNNNNNNNNNNNNNNNNNNNNNNNNNNNNNNNNNNNNNNNNNNNNNNNNNNNNNNNNNNNNNNNNNNNNNNNNNNNNNNNNNNNNNNNAGAGGCUGACGGAUGGGGUUUGCAUGCAAGAAAAGUAGCGCCGGGCGUCCCAAGUGCCCCCCGGGGCGUUGGGUUUUGCCCGGGGUCGCCGGCGCUGUUUUUGCUGAAAUCCGGCGCAAAACGAGGUCGUGGGGGCGUGACUGGGAGCAUUUUUUACAACCGGCACUAAAAAAGGUGCUUGGGGGGGGGCGUCUUGGGGAGCCUAAUGGAGAUGCUCUAAGUUUUGUCUGAAGUCAAAGCAUCUCUACUUUGACCAAACCUAUAGAAAAAAGUAUCAAGGAUUACAAUGUCAAAUCAAUAUUCUUAGAAUCAUUACGAAAUGUAGUUUCAUGAAAUAUAUAUUUGGCAUGGUAAAUGUUGAUAUUUUUAAAUAUAUAUUUGGUCAAAUUUUGUAAAGUUUGACUUGACCCAAACCUAAUACGCAGAGUAAAAAGGACCGGAGGGAGUACAACUUAGUCAAAAAAUAUAUAAUAUAUUAAUUCUUAUAGCAUGCUUACAUCAUCUUUUUAUACUUGCGCUCUAAGCUAGUAUAUUUCUAUAUGUAGUUCCGUAAUAAUAGAACACCAGUGUUGUUUCUUUUUUGCGAAGAGCAUUAAUGUUGAUUCAGAAUUAUCAGCCAAAAGUUUUGAAAUUUGUUGGACAAACUUAAAUUCAUUCUUUUUAGUCACAAGAGCAACUCUGGUUUAGUGGUAGCAAGUUGUGAUUUUCUACACACAUUUUUUACUUCUUUUUCUAGUGAUGGUGUUUGGAUCCACAUGUUAGAAAAAAACAUGAAAAUGCGAAGAUCGAAAAUUAAAUGUUGCAAAUGAACCCCUUAAUUCUGAGAAUUUCGGCUGAGAUUUCACCAAAAUUAUUUGUCACCGGGACAGAUGGGGGCACUCUUCGUCAUCCUAUGGUCACUGGCCCUGGCGAAGCUAGGGCAAAGGGUGCUCAACAAAUGGAUGGCACAGGACUCGCUGACGGCAGCGGGAAACACUCACCUCAUUGCAGGCUACAUGCAGCAUAUCAUAUAGGAGCACGGUAGAUCCCCUUACCCUUAUGGCGACAUUACCAAGUGCAAGUACAUGGUGAUGGGAGAGGAGAAGCUCAUGCUCAAGACAAAGGAUAGGAGAAAAGAGGAUGGGCCAUGGAGGAAUUCUGAUCCCAAGGUACGACGGACCACCUUACACUUUGGCUACGGCGUCGGGAGGUUCCCUGAUGGCCAAGAUGUCCAGAAGCACGUUCAUCUGCUCAUUGACGCCAGCAAGAUCAAGGACUUGGUGACCGUAAAGACCAUAUUGGAGAAAAUACCAACUUUUGAACUAUGCUGCUUCAGCACCAAGAGGUGGCGACGCCUAUGCCUCGGCUUCUCUCUAUUCAAGCUGAUGCGACGGCGGUUCGAGCACUAUCCCAUGGUUGAGGUUGGCUCAGAGAUGGCACGAGGGAUAAUGCUCCAUGGCCUACUCGCCCUCGAGGGAGAGAGCAACGUGGAAGACAACGCCCAUGCGGUAUUUCGGGUGCUCCAGCUAGAGCUCGACUUCCUCGACAACUACUACCAGGACGGCGUCCUGGUUGUGAUGUCCGCUCCUUGGCUUUUCAUCUUCAACUUCUUCUUCUCCAUCCUCUUCGUCUUGAUAUACAUCCUAGCCAUCUUUGCCAUCGUGGUCACUUACGACGGCAACAAAACCCUGCUUCUUUACUUCAUCAUCGCCCUGCUGCUGGUGAUGGCCAUCCUUGCCAUUGAAGUCACGGAGUUCCUCACCUUAUAUCUUCUCUCCAACUGGUUCCUAGUGCACCUGCUAUGCUUGUACAUAGCUCCAGGGAACUGCCUUUGGAACUGGCUGUUCAAGCCGAUCAUUGGCUGCUUCAUUGUAGCACGCUUCUUGGUGGUGCCUGCACUUGGCCUCAUAUUUAGACUUUUGUGCAGACCUAUUAAUACCAAGAACAUCAAGAUUAGGCAGGUGUCCAUUCUCCAAGUAUCAGCGACCCAGGCACUACUGACAGCAGAAACGCUGCCGUGGCAGCCAAAUCAGCUGCCAUGGCUGCCACCUCGGAUCGAGUAACGUCGCAGGGACAAGACCGCAUCCCAAGUCGCCCACGUAGGAUCGCACAGCCGAACCGACGCUACAUGGGCCCCGAGUGGAUCACCUCUACUUAAGCAAGCGCAAUCCAUUUCUUCUGCAUCCGGGCUUGGAUCAAGGACAAGGCAAGGCAUCGCACGGCAUCUACUUUCCCCUUCUUCCCUCUUCCCAAGUUGUAACUAAAUCUGAACAAAGGAGUUGUAUCUGAUAGAGAUAGUAAUACAGUGGGUGAGAUUAGCUGCUCACAACGUGGUAUUAGAGACCACCUACCACCCUUCCCCCGCCGCCGCCGCCACCGCCGCCGCCGCCGCCGCCGCCACAACCACCGCUUCGUUCGCCACUCUGGAAACGCGGCGCCAAAGGGCGUUCUUCAAUGCCAUGGAUCCCGAGCUCCACACCCUCCUGGAGCGGAUGGAACACAACGCCACCACGCGCUCCGAGCAUCCCCUCAAGGCGCUGGACGCGCAGACAGAGCGCAUCGAUGCACUUGCCGCGUGGCGGCCGGAACUCGAGGCUCGUUUCGCCAAGCUGGAGGUCUCCGUCGCUGCUCUGCAAUCCGCAUCUACUGCAGCGGCGGCAGCCUCUGGUGGGACGCCCGUGCAUCCACCUCCCUCUUUGGCGCCGAGCACCUCCCACGGGCCGUUCGGCCACGGCGUGCAGCACUUCCCCGGAGGAUCCCCGUCGGUGGCUCUUGAGUCGCCACCGGCUCCUCCGGUCACGGGUAUGGUCACCGUCCAGCCUCCUCUUUCGGCACCUAUUCUGUCGGCCAUGGGCCAUUCACCCCCUGCGAUAGCGUUCCCAAAUUUCUCUGGAGACAACCCACCGUUGUGGCGCAUGCUGGAAGAAUAAUAUUUUCAGAUGUUUGCAGUACACGAUUCGUACUGGGUUCUGAUGGCCAUCCUUAAUUUCUCUGGUGCCGCAGCAAUUGGGUUGCAAUCGGUCCAGCGUAAACUUACAAGCAUGGGCUGGGAGUCCUUCACUGAAAUGCUCUGCACUCGUUUUGGCCGGGACAAGCACCAGCUAUUGAUCCGUCAAUUCUAUGCGAUCAAGCAGACCUCAUCUGUAGCUGAUUACAUUGAGCGUUUUGAAACAUUGAUGCAUCAUUUGAUUUCAUAUUCAGCACUGACUCAUCCUUUGUUCUUCCUGACAUGUUUUGUCGAGGGGCUCCGGUCGGACUUGCGAGCGGUGGUUCUCAUUCAGAGGUCGCAGGACCUGGACACUGCGUGUUCGCUCGCCUUACUUCAAGAGGAAGUGGCAGAUGGCGAGGCAAUGUUCCAGAACUCCAAGGGUAGAUCCAAUUCAAGUACACCUUCGCCUCGCUCAUACGCAUCAAGCACCAUUCCCGCGCCAUCGUUCUUCAGUCGGCCACCUUCUACUACGCAAACUGCUGACGAUCGUCGUGGCACGGAAGCCGCACGAGCAACUCCUGACAGCAGCAAGAUCAACACCUUGCGUGCUUUCAGACGAGCCAGAGGCCUCCGUUUCAAAUGUGGAGAGCGUUGCAGCAAGGAUCACACCUGCCCCACAAAUGAUGAUAUGGUAAUAUGCUUUCUUUCUCCGCCUCAUCGAGAACUAGGAAUUUCCCAAAAUUAAUCUGGAAACAUACUCCCUCCAUCCGGAAAAACUUAUUUCUCAAAUGGAUGUAUCUAGCACCAGUACAUCCAUUUAAGGGACAAGUUUGGGACAGGCUUUUUCGGACGGAGGAAGUACAUGCUAAUCUAGGUAAACUUGUCACCUACGAGUGCCCAACCAUUGUAAGAGCAUCUACGACCAUAGUUGCCUAAUUUAAGGGCCUAUAUGCCCACGGACGUGUAACCGGGCAAUCCCCAUUAAUUUCUCUUUGUCUACAACCGUAGUCCCCAUAUGCCUGCACCCAAAUUCAUACAAAGCAUGCAAACAUAGAUCAUCAACGUGACAAUAGCUCGAACAAGAAUUAUAUAUAUAUAGCAGGAUAGACAUAGUUCACGCCGGGCAUAGUUCAUCGGACCUAAAAGACAUAGUUCACGUCGGGCAUAGUUCAUGAGAGCCAAAGACAUAGUUCAUGUCGGGCAUAGUUCAUCAUAGCCAAAGACACAGUUUGCAGGAUAGAUUACUGGAUACAAACUAUAUUAGCUAGAGGGGGCAGAGAUCACCAUUUCUUGUAUGGGCCCUUGCCUUUGCAGUAUCCGGAGCGGUGGUACAUCUGCUGUGUGUAGGCGUCCGCGGAGGGAGGAUCCUCAUCGUCAUUUUUCGUGCCGGUGGUGCUGAUGUCCGACAUCGAGGAGAUGUAGCCGGAGAGGCGGUGGAUGGCGCGGUCCCACUCCUUCGUGUGGUGCUCUGCCCUGGUCUUAGCAGUCUCAUUCUCCCUCGCAAGGCGCUUCGACAGCUCGAUCCCGAGCCAAAGCGCCAUCACAUUCUUGUGCUGGAGUCGCCUAGCAUCCGUCUCCGUCUCCGCCGAGGUAAGCGAACGACGCAUGACCUCGCGGAGGAGGUGCUCCUUCGGGUCGACAUGGACGGAGCGGGCGCAUGGCUGGGAAGGGUCGGCCUCCGCCUCCCUCUACAUGGCCCACUGCCGCUCGCGGCCAGCGGCCUUCGCCUCUGACUCCGGUAACUACAUCCUCUCAGUAGCCAUGGACACGAUCACACAAGCACCCAGCUCGACUCGGGAGGAGCUAGCGCCGAAGGGGAAGGAGAGAGGGUCACCCUGCUCUAAAUUUGGAGCGGUGCAGAGCUGAACGACCGAGCAAGUUGGGUCGCAUUGCUACGGCAGGACAAAGAGGAGCUGGUGGCGGAUGGCGUGGGGCUCGAGCUCCCGCCGGUAUCCAGCAGGAAGCCCUUGAUGGCGAUGCGGAGUGUGAGCUCCUCAUCGUCUGACACUUCACUACCAGAGCCUCCUUCACGAGGGCCAUCCUAGUCCAUGGGAUCAGACUCGUUGUGGGAACUGUUGUUAGAUCUGGCCAUGGCGAAGGGGGUGGAAGAGAUUGGGAGAGGAAGGGGAGGAGAGAUGGGGAGCGGAGUAGGUGAGAGGGCUGGGAGGAGUGGGGUUUGACUAGGGUUCGUCAGAUCGGUUGGUGUUUUUGUGGGGACAGUGGUGGGGGAGGUGCAGGCCAUAGCAGGCCGGUCCUACUUGGCGGCGGUGUCCGGGCGCGUACGUGCCUCCUCAUACCAUCCCCCUCUCCGGGGAUUGCCGACAUUUGGGCUGGUUGUGGGUAGCCUGGUUGGGUGCUGUUUUUGGUGUGAGCAGUGACUUGGCAGCUGGCCCAGGCAUUGGGGGCAUAUAUAGGGCGCCCGGUUGUAAAUGGUCUAAGAAACCAAAAUGUGUCAGUGUCGUUGGUUAGCUAUUGAUCUCUUAUAGGCGUAGCAUGGUUGAUAGUAGACCAAGUGCUCGCUGUAUCUUUAUGUCAUGUAAUCUAUAGUCAACCUAGCUAAUAGCUAACAUGCAUGGUCCAUUUCACACUCUUACAAUGUUUCUUGGAGCGGUGCUCUUAAUCUACAACCUAUCUUCCUGCUCAUACUCCCUCCGGUCCUUUUCAGUCUGCAUAUAAGAGCAUCUCCAGCCGUUGUGCCCCCCAGGAGGCAUUUUUCGGCCUCCUGGGGAGGCCCUAGCGCUAACUUUGCAUUUGGGUGCCAAAAAUUUCCAGCCGUUGUGCCCCCCAGGACUCGCACGGCCGCGUCUUUGUCUUCCACCGCCUCCUCCCGGCUCGCUGGCUGCUGCGGCCUCCUCCUGGCUCCUCGUUGCAGCCUCAACAACGCCCCCGUGCUCCACCUCGAGGCGCACCACGCCGACCGCUCCCGCUACGUGCUCUCCUACGACGCUGCUAGGAGCGGGCCGGGGCCGAGCCGUGGCUGCUGCUGCGCAUGCACGCACUGGCUAGCACGCGAGAGCUCCGAGCACGGCGUCGCGACACCACGCACGCACGCGACAGUGACGGCCAGCACGCGGCGGCUGCGGCCACCAAACCCGACCAGCAUGCAAGCCUGUGCAUGCUCGUGCGACAGCGGAGCCCGGUCAACACGCCCGCGAGCAACGCACGCAUGCACGCGGCGGACAGCGACAGCCAGCACGCGGGGAGCAGGCCAGCCGCGCCGGCCUCUCAGCGCCGGGGCCCAGGAGCAGCAGCAGGACCACGCGAGCCAAAGGUAGAGCUGGAGCUGGAGCGCCCGGCGAGCCAUGUCGUGCCGUCCUCGUCCUCCGCCGCGUUGUCCUCGUCCACGCGAGCAGCCGACCAGGGCGAGCUGGAGCUGGAGCGCCCGGCAAGCCGUGCCGUGACGUCCUUGUCCUCCACCGUGUCGUCCUCGUCCUCGGCCAUGCCGUGGAGCUGGAGCUCGACCGCCCGGCGAGGGCGCCGUGAAGUGCACGGGCGGAGACGGCCCACUCCAGCUGUCUUGCCCGGCGGCCUGUUCGUCAAGCCGUGCGGGAGCGGCGAGGAGGCGUGGUGAGGGCGCACGGCAGCCAAGGCGAGGGCGCACGGUGAGCGCGGGCGGCGAGGAGGCAUUGCGGUCAGUGUGAGGGCUCGGCGGGCAGCAAGGAGAUGGCGGCCAGGAGGCAUGGCGGCGAGCGCGGCCGGAGCGAGGAGCUCUGCUUGCUGCUUGCGGAGAGAGAGAGAGGAGAGAGAUCCCUUUUUCUGCAAGUGGGUGGGGUGGGCCUGACAGAAAAAGAGGGGGGAGAGAGAAGAGAGAGGCUGACGGAUGGGGUUUGCAUGCAAGAAAAGUAGCGUCGGGCGUCCCAAGUGCCCCCCCGGGGCGCUGGGUUUUGCCCGGGGUCGCCGACGCUGUUUUUGCUGAAAUCCGGCGCAAAACGAGGUCGUGGGGGCGUGACUGGGAGCAUUUUUUUACAACCGGCCCUAAAAAAGGUGCUUGGGGCGUCUUGGGGAGCCUAGUGGAGAUGCUCUAAGUUUUGUCUGAAGUCAAAGCAUCUCUACUUUGACCAAACCUAUAGAAAAAAGUAUCAAGAAUUACAAUGUCAAAUCAAUAUUCUUAGAAUCGUUAUGAAAUGUAGUUUCAUGAAAUAUAUAUUUGACAUGGUAAAUGUUGAUAUUUUUAAAUAUAUAUUUGGUCAAAAUUUGUAAAGUUUGACUUGACCCAAACCUAAUACGCAGAGUAAAAAGGACCGGAGGGAGUACAACUUAGUCAAAAAAUAUAUAAUAUAUUAAUUCUUAUAGCAUGCUUACAUCAUCUUUUUAUACUUGCGCUCUAAGCUAGUAUAUUUCUAUAUGUAGUUCCGUAAUAAUAGCACACCAGUGUUGUUUCCUUUUUUGCGAAGAGCAUUAAUGUUGAUUCAGAAUUAUCAGCCAAAAGUUUUGAAAUUUGUUGGACAAACUUAAAUUCAUUCUUUUUAGUCACAAGAGCAAGUCUGGUUUAGUGGUAGCAAGUUGUGGUUUUCUACACACAUUUUUUACUUCUUUUUCUAGUGAUGGUGUUUGGAUCCACAUGUUAGAAAGAAAAAACAUGAAAAUGCGAAGAUCGAAAAUUAAAUGUUGCAAAUGAACCCCUUAAUUCUGAGAAUUUCGGCUGAGAUUUCACCAAAAUAAUUUGUCACUAGGACAGAUGGGGGCACUCUUCGUCAUCCUAUGGUCACUGGCCCUGGCGAAGCUAGGGCAAAGGGUGCUCAACAAAUGGAUGGCACAGGACUCGCUGAUGGCAGCGGGAAACACUCACUUCAUUGCUGGCUACAUGCAGCAUAUCAUACAGGAGCACGGUGGAACCCCUUACCCUUACGGCGACAUUACCAAGUGCAAGUACGUGGUGAUGGGAGAGGAGAAGCUAAUGCUCAAGACAAAGGAUAGGAGAAAAGAGGAUGGGCCAUGGAGGAAUUCUGAUCCUAAGGUACGACGGACCACCUUACACUGUGGCUACGGCGUCGGGAGGUUCCCUGAUGGCCAAGAUGUCCAGAAGCACGUUCAUCUGCUCAUCGACGCCAGCAAGAUCAAGGACUUGGUGACCGUAGAGACCAUAUUGGAGAAAAUACCAACUUUUGAACUAUGCUGCUUCAGCACCAAGAGGUGGCGCCGCCUAUGCCUCAGCUUCUCUCUAUUCAAGCUGAUGCGACGGUGGUUCUAGCACUAUCCCAUGGUUGAGGUUGGCUCAGAGAUGGCACGAGGGAUAAUGCUCCAUGGCCUACUCGCCCUUGAGGGAGAGAGCAACGUGGAAGACAACGCCCAUGCGGUAUUUCGGGUGCUCCAGCUAGAGCUCGACUUCCUCGAAAACUACUACCAGGACGGCGUCCCGGUUGUGAUGUCCGCUCCUUGGCUUUUCAUCUUCAACUUCUUCUUCUCCAUCAUCUUCGUCUUGAUAUACAUCCUAGCCAUCUUUGCCAUCGUGGUCACUUACGACGGCAACAAAACCCUGCUUCUUUACUUCAUCAUCGCCCUGCUGCUGGUGAUGGCCAUCCUUGCCAUUGAAGUCACGGAGUUCCUCACCUUAUAUCUUCUCUCCAACUGGUUCCUAGUGCACCUGCUAUGCUUGUACAUAGCUCCGGGGAACUGCCUUUGGAACUGGCUGUUCAAGCCGAUCAUUGGCUGCUUCAUUGUAGCACGCUUCUUGGUGGUGCCUGCACUUGGCCUCAUAUUUAGACUUUUGUGCAGACCUGUUAAUACCAAGAACAUCAAGAUUAGGCAGGUGUCCAUUCUCCAAGUAUCAGCGACCCAGGCACUACUGACAGUAGAAACGCUGCCGUGGCAGCCAAAUCAGCUGCCAUGGCUGCCACCUCAGAUCGAGUAACGUCGCAGGGACAAGACCGCAUCCCAAGUCGCCCACGUAGAAUCGCACAGCCGAACCGACGCUACGUGGGCCCCGAGUGGAUCACCUCUACUUAAGCAAGCGCAAUCCAUUUCUUCUACAUCCGGGCUUGGAUCAAGGACAAGGCAAGGCAUGGCACGACAUCUACUUUCCCCUUCUUCCCUCCUUCCCAAGUUGUAACUGAAUCUGAACAAAGGAGUUGUAUCUGAUAGAGAUAGUAAUACAGUGGGUGAGAUUAGCUGCUCACAACGUGGUAUCAAAGACCACCUACCACCCUUCCCCCGCCGCCGCCGCCGCCGCCGCCGCCACAACCACCGCUUCGUUCACCACUCUGGAAACGCGAUGCCAAAGGGCGUUUGUCAACGCCAUGGAUCCCGAGCUCCGCACCCUCCUGGAGCGGAUGGAACACAACGCCACCACGCGCUCCGAGCAUCUCCUCAAGGCGCUGGACGCGCAGACAGAGCGCAUCGAUGCGCUUGCCGCGUGGCGGCCGGAACUCGAGGCCCGUUUCGCCAAGCUGGAGGUCUCCGUCGCCGCUCUGCAGUCCGCAUCUACUGCAGCGGCGGCAGACUUUGGUGGGACGCCCGUACAGCCACCUCCCUCCUUGGCGCCGAGCACCUCCCAUGGGCUGUUCGGCCACGGCGUGCAACACUUCCCCGGAGGAUCCCCGUCGGUGCUCUUGAGUCGCCCCCGGCUCCUCUGGUCACGGGUAUGGUCACCGUCCAGCCUCCUCUUUCGGUACCUGUUCUGUCGGCAAUGGGCCAUUCACCCCCUGCGAUAGCGUUUCCCAAUUUCUCUGGAGACAACCCAUAGUUGUGGUGUACGCUGGCAGAACAAUAUUUUCAUAUGUUUGUAGUACACGAUUUGUACUGGGUUCCGAUGGCCAUCCUUAAUUUCUCUGAUGCCGCAACAAUUUGGUUGCAAUCGCUCUAGCGUAAACUUACAAGCAUGGGCUGGGAGUCCUUUACUGAAAUGCUCUGCACUCGUUUUGGUCGGGACAAGCAUCAGCUAUUGAUCCGUCAAUUCUAUGCGAUCAAGCAGACCUCAUCUGUAGCUGAUUACAUUGAGCAUUUUGAAACAUUGAUGCAUCAUUUGAUUUCAUAUUCAGAACUGACUCAUCCUUUGUUCUUCCUGACACGUUUUGUCGAGGGGCUCCGAUCGGACUUGCGAGCGGUGGUUCUCAUUCAGAGGCCGCAGGACCUGGACACUGCGUGUUCGCUCGCCUUACUUCAAGAGGAAGUGGCAGAUGGCCAGGCAAUGUUCCAGCACUCCAAGGGCAGAUCCAAUUCAAGUACACCUUCGCCUCGCUCAUACGCAUCAAGCACCAUUCCCGCGCCAUCGUUCUUCAGUUGGCCACCUUCUACUACGCAGACUGCUGACGAUCGUCGUGGCACGGAAGCCGCACGAGCAACUCCUGACAGCAGCAAGAUCAACACCUUGCGCGCUUUCAGAUGAGCCAGAGGCCUCUGUUUCAAAUGUGGAGAGCGUUGGGGCAAGGAUCACACCUGCCCCACGACUGUCCAAAUGCAUGUCGUCGAAGAACUUUUGGAUAUGUUCCCUUCCGAGGACAACCGUGAACCGGAGCAAGCAGAUCAAGUUCAGUUCGACGAAGACAAUCUGUGUACUUUGUCCCGUCAGGCCAUUGAUGGCUCUGACGACCCCGGAGUUUUGCAGCUUCAGGCAUGGCUGCAAAAUCAGGAGGUCUUGCUGUUGGUGGAUUCAGGGAGUUCAGCUUCCUUUGUGGACACCCGUCUCGUCGCAAAGAUGCAAGGGCAAACAAACCUUGUCAAGCCCUGCAAAGUAAAGGUAGCAGAUGGUAACACACUUAUAUGCCAGAAGUUCAUUCCUAACUGUUCGUGGGUCACACAAGGACAUGAAUUUUGCACUGAUUUUAAGAUCAUUCAGUUGGGAGCUUAUGAUGCAAUACUUGGCAUGGAUUGGUUAAGGCAGCACAGUCCAAUGUGUAUUGAUUGGGAGGCGCAACAUCUGUCAGUCACCACUAGCACUGGCCAAGUGGAACUUAAAGCAAUUUCUGCAUCUCAGCAACAAUGUUCUGCUAUAUCCACAGAAGAAUUGCUGAAGUCAUGUAAACAAGGAUCAGUGGCUUAUGUGGUUCAGUUGUCUACACUAUGAGAAGAAGGGCUGCCUGACACUCCAAUACCACAAGACAUCUUGAGAGUUUUGGAACAAUACACUGAAUUUUUUGAGGCUCCUACUUCCCUGCCACCGCGACGAGCAUGUGACCAUCGCAUACCUCUCAUCGAAGGGGCUCAACCAGUCAACUUGCGACCCUACAGAUACAAACCAGAACUCAAGGAUGAGAUUGAGCGCCAGGUUAAAGAGCUGCUCGAUGCUGGAUUAAUUCAGAAGAGCACUAGCCCGUUUUCUUCCCCAGCUUUACUCGUCAAGAAAAAGGAUGGGACAUGGCGAUUAUGCAUCAAUUAUCGCCGUCUGAAUUCCAUGACAGUGGUCAGCAAGUAUCCGGUGCCGGUGAUUGAUGAACUACUGGAUGAAUUAGCAGGCGCUCAAUGGUUCUCCAAGCUUGAUUUGCACACGGGCUAUCACUAGAUUUGCCUAGCAGAGGGGGAGGAGUACAAGACCGCGUUUCAAACACAUACAGGACAUUGGGAGUUUAGAGUACUAUCUUUUGGCCUUGCAGGUGGUCCACCCACAUUUGUGGGCGCCGUGAGUACCACUCUGAAACCGGUAAUCCGAGUCUAUGUGGUGGUUUUCUUCGACGACAUUCUCGUCUUCAGCAAGACAUUGUCCGACCAUGUUGGCCAUCUGCGUCAGGUUUUGCAGCUUCUAAAGAAGGAUCAUUGGCGUGUUAAACAAUCCAAAUGCUCUUUUGGUCAGCGAAGAUCACUUAUUUGGGUCACGUCAUCUCGGGAAAGGGGGUUGCAACAGAUCCCAGCAAAGUCAGGACCAUCGAGCAGUGGCCUAUUCCUCAAUCUGCUAAAGAGGUGCGCAACUUCCUGGGUUUGGCUGGCUAUUACCGCAAAUUCGUCAAGCACUUUGGCAUCAUCGCUCGUCCGUUGUUCAAUUUUCUCAAGAAGAAUCAUCUGUUUGUGUGGACCAAAGGGACAGACACAACUUUUAAGCUCCUGCAGAAAAGCCUGGUUACAACUCCUGUCCUACAGUUACCAGAUUUCGACAAAACCUUCACCAUUGACACAGACGCCCGUGACUAUGGAGUAGGAGCAGUACUUCAUCAAGGAGGCCAUCCGAUCGUGUAUAUGAGCAAACCACUAGAUCCUAAAAACCGUGGCCUAUCAACUUAUGAGAAGGAGUGCUUAGCAAUUUUGAUGGCUGUUGAACAGUGGAGACCGUAUCUGCAAAUAGGUGAAUUUCCCAUUCACACAGAUCACAGGAGUUUGUCACAUUUAGAUGAUCAUCGUCUCUCCACUCCCUGGUAGCAAAAAGCAUUCACUAAACUACUUGGACUGAGGUACAAAAUCAGGUACAGCCAAGGGACUGCUAAUGGAGCUGUAGAUGCUCUGUCACGGCGGUUGCACAAUGCCGCAAGCCUAUCAGCGAUCUCUGUAUGCAAGCCCGCUUGGGUGGAUGACAUUGCUGCCAGUUACGCUAGCAAUGGGCAAGUGCAAAAGAUCUUGGCUCAACUGGCUGCUGGACCGGACAGUAAGCAACAAUUCUCAGGUUCCAACGGCCUUCUUUAUUUCAGAAACAGACUUUGGUUGGGAGGAUCCCCUGAAUUACAGCAGCGCAUGUUGAUAGCGUUUCAUGACAGCUCGGUUGGGGGGCACUCCGGGUUUCCGGUCACCUACAGACGCCUGCGCCAUCUCUUUGCGUGGCUAAAGAUGAAAGAUCAGGUCCGUCGAUACGUUCAAGCUUGUACUAUAUGUCAACAGGCUAAGCCGGAAAGGGUGAAAUAUCCAGGGUUGCUUGAGCCGAUCCCAUUACCAGAAGGAGCAUGGUAAGUGGUCACGAUGGAUUUCAUUGACGGUCUGCCACAAUCCAAUAAGUUCAAUUGCAUCCUCGUGGUGGUUGACAAAUUCACUAGAUAUGCCCAUUUCCUACCUCUGACUCACCCCUUUACAGCCGCAAAGGUUGCUCAUUCCUACCUGGAAAAUGUCUAUAAACUGCACGGCCUACCAGCAGCUAUCAUCUCUAAUCGGGACCCAGUCAUCACCAUCAAGUUUUGGCGCGAGCUGUUCCAUGUUAUAGGUACUGAACUCAAUAUGAGCACGCCAUAUCACCCCCAGACGAAUGGUCAGACUGAACGCGUCAACCAGUGCUUGGAGGUUUAUCUAUGAUGUUUCAUACAUGCCUGUCCAGGCAAGUGGAGUCAGUACCUCGCCUUAGCGGAAUUCUGGUACAAUUCAAGCUAACACUCGGCGCUGAAGACAUCACCAUUUGUUGCACUAUAUGGUCACGAGCCGAGGCAUUGGGGCAUCGAGGCAACAUCCACUUGCAAAAUACCAGCUCUCAAAGAUUGGCUCGAGGAGCGCAAGCUCAUGGAACAACUGCUCAAACAACAUCUCAGCAGAGCUCGCAACACUAUGAAGAUUCAAGCAGACAAGAAGCGGACGGAACGGACUUUUCAAGUGGGAGACUCUGUCUUUGUCAAGUUACAACCAUACGUUCAAACUUCAGUCGAGAGGCGCGCCAAUCACAAGUUAGCUUUCAAAUUCUUUGGCCCUUUCACAAUCAUUCAGGCGAUCAACCCAGUGGCCUAUAAGGUUCAAUUACCAGAAGGAUCCAAGGUACAUGAUGUUUUCCAUGUCUCCCAACUCCGUCCAGCACUCAGCCAGGGCAUAGUGGCGUCGGCGCAUCUUCCUGAACCUUCAGAGCAUGUUCUACGACCGGUCGAGAUCCUCAACUCUCGCUGGAAGCUCACAUCCACAGGCCGCCGCGAACAGAUUUUGGUUCGCUGGUCUGAUCCAGCGGUUCUUAAUGCCACCUGGGAAGACGCAGCUCAACUGAAGGAGCAUUUUGUCAAUCUGCCGGCUUGGGGGCAAGCCGUCUCUCAAGGGGGAGGGGAUGUCAGCCAUGUAACGCCCUCGAUGCGGCUAUAUCUCCCAUGUGUUGAAGCACGACUUAGAGGCAUAACCGCAUUGAAAGCAAUGUCGCAAGUGAGGUAAUAUUCACACCACCCAUGUAAUACAUAAGGGAAAGAGAUACAUAGUUGGCUUACAAUCGCCACUUCACACAAUUACAUGAAUAAAGCAUUACAUCAUCCAGAUACAAUCAAGGUCCGACUACGGAACCAAAAUAAAAGAAGACUACCCUAGAAGCUACACAGAUCCUCGAUCGUCCCGACUGGGCUCCACUACUGAUCAACUAGAACGAAACAACACAAAGGACAAGAUCUUCAUCGAGCUCCUCCUUGAGCUUGGUUGCGUCACCUGCUCGGGAACAUCGGCACCUGCAAACUGGUUUUGGAAGUAUCUGUGAGUCACCCGGACUCAGCAAUCUCACACCCUCGCGAUCAAGACUAUUUAAGCUUAUAGGAAGGGUAAAAGGUAUGAGGUGGGGUUGUAGCAAGCGACUAGCAUAUAUGGUGGCUAACCUAUCCGCAAAAGAGAGCGAGAAGAGAAGGCAAAGAACGAUCAAGAAACUAUGAUCAAGAAGUGAUCCUAGAACAACCUACGUCAAGCAUAACUCCAACACCGUGUUCACUUCCCGGACUCCGCCGGAAAGAGACCAUCACGGUUACACACGCGGUUGAUGUAUUUUAAUUAAGGUCAACUUUAGGUUUUCUACAACCGGACAUUAACAAAUUCUCAUCUGCCCAUAACCGCGGGCACGGCUUUUGAAAGUUCAAAUCCCUGCAGGGGUGUCCCAACUUAGCCCAUAACAAGCUCUCAUGGUCAACGAAGGAUAUUCCUUCUAGCGGGAAGACCCGAUCAGACUCGGAAUCCCGGUUACAAGACAUUUCGACAAGGUAAAACUAAACCAGCAACACCGCCCGAAUGUGCCGACAAAUCCCGAUAGGAGCUGCACAUAUCUCUUUCUCAGGGCACACUCAGAUUGUCCAAGGUAUGGGUAGGCCAGCCCAGAGUUGCCCCUGGUGGCCACCGACAGCUGAUAGGUUGGACCAACACUCAGAGGAGCACUGGCCCAGGGGUUUAAAAUAAUGAUGACCCUUGGGCGCGCGACCCCCAAGGGAAAAGAAAAGGCUAGGUGGCGAAUGGUAAAACCAAUGUUGGGCAUUGCUGAAAGAGUUUUAUUCAAGGCGAACUGUCAAGGGGUUCCCAUUAUUACCCAACCGCGUAAGGAACGCAAAAUCCGGGAACAUAACACCGAUAUGACGGAAACUAGGGCGGCAAAAGUGGAACAAAACACCAGGCAUAAGGCCGAGCCUUCCACCCUUUACCAAGUAUAUAGAUGCAUUAAGUAAAUAAUAGAUAUUGUGAUAUCCCAACAAGUAAACAUGUUCCAACAAGGAACAACAACUCCAUGUUCCAACAAGGAACAUACUUCAAUCUUCACCUGCAACUAACAACGCUAUAAGAGGGGCUGAGCAAAGCGGUAACAUAGCCAAUCAACGGUUUGCUAGGACCAGGUGGGUUAGAGGCUUGGUUCAACAAUAUAGGAGGCAUGAUAAGAAAGUGGUAGGUAUCGCAGCAUAGGCAUAGCAAAAGAGCGAGCAACUAGCAAGCAAAGAUAGAAGUGAUUUCGAGGGUAUGGUCAUCUUGCCCGAGUCACGCAAGGAAGAAGAACGAGUCCAUGAAGAAGACAAGCGGGCGUAGACGAACGGGUCCUCACAAACGCGACGUUAUCGAAACCAACCCGAAGAAGCAAACACCGGAAAGAAGCACACAACAUAGUGAACAACCAACACAUGAACAUGGUAUGAUAUGCGGGAUGCGGUAUGCGAUGCAUAUGCAUGAUUUGCAAAGGAAUGAUGGAACCUGGCCUCAACUUGGAAAUCCAAGAGUGCCACUGGAAAGGUGAGGUGAUUUCGGUUGAAAUCGACAUAAAGAUCGCCAGGAUCGGAUGCACGGUUUGGAAAUGGCAAGCAAAACAAAUAUGGCACUGGUCUGCGAUAAACAGCAAGUAGCCAUCUAAAUGCAUCAAGACAAUUAAGCUACAGCUCUCAAACAUGACAACAAAAUACAUGGCAGGGAUCCACUCAUGAUGCUUGACAAAAGAUGAACACUGAUCUACGGCCAAUUCAUCCAUUAACAGGUUCAAACAAGCAUGGCAAAAGAGCAAUUGAUAAACAGAUUUCAGACUUAGUGAAAUUAACACAAGCCUGGAAUUUCAGAUCAGGUAGCACACUUAGGAGCAAGAAAAUUAUAUGCUACAGGAACUUAACAUGGCAAAGUAAAGCAUGGCAUGGAGCUACUCAAAGAGCUUAACAAAAAUCCCUUAGUGACCUUGAGCCAAAAGGGAUCAGAAAAUACAAUUGCAAGCAUGUGAACAUGGCAAAAACAUAAUCAGAUCUCAGACUUAGUGAAAAACUGGAGCAUGCAAAUCUGUUAACAAGUAGGCAUGUUUACGAGCUCGAUGCACUCACUAAAGAGCAAGGCAUGCCAAUCUAAGCAUACACCCAUCAAGAAUACAUAUUAUAUAAGCUAGACAUGGCAAGAACAACAACAUAGCAUGCACGGAUCAACUACAACAUCCUCGGCAAAAUCGCUAACAAGUAGACAAUCUGCCCAGAUUCACGAAAUAGCAAAAGUAGAGCUCGAUUGACUCAAGCUAGGGUGCUCCAUAAUUGCAAACAAAGACAUGGAUGGAUAGAGCACUAAAAUAUUAACAAAUCAUCCUUACUGAUCAUCCUCAAAAGAGGCACGGAUCACUAGGAAACAACAUGAACAUAUGGCAUAUUGAUAAAAACAGAUCAAGGACUUAGUGGAAUACCUAAGUCCCUGAAAUCAGCAUUAACGAAUGCAUCACUUUGCAAGCUUGUGCUAGUCACCACACAUAUCACAAAAAUACAUGGGUGGCAUCUAUGUAAAGAUGGCAAAGCAUAUAACAGAACACAUGUAGAGCACAGGGGCAUAUCAUGCACACAUUAAUCAUGGCAAAAAUGACAAAUAGCUAUUUGGUGCAGCAGAUCUAACAAUUAACUCAAAUAGCUCUCUUCCAACAACAUUUAGGGCAUCAAGAUGAGCUCAAAUGAAAAUGAUGCAAUGAGAUGAAAUGAUGUACACUCUGAGGUGAACAUUUUGAUAUGCUACACGCUCAAAACGGAGUUACGGAUGCAAAGUUACGACAUGAUGAAUAUGGGCAUAUGAAUCUGGAAAUCAGUUACGACAAGAUCUUCAUCGAGCCCCUCCUUGAGCUUGGUUGCGUCACCUGCUCGGGAACAUCGGCACCUGCAAACUGAUUUUAGAAGUAUCUGUGAGUCACGGGGACUCAGCAAUCUCACAUCCUCGCGAUCAAGACUAUUUAAGCUUAUAGGAAGGGUAAAAGGUAUGAGGUGAGGUUGCAGCAAGCGACUAGCAUAUAUGGUGGCUAACCUAUCCGCAAAAGAGAGCGAGAAGAGAAGGCAAAGAACGAUCGAGAAACUAUGAUCAAGAAGUGAUCCUAGAACAACCUACGUCAAGCAUAACUCCAACACCGUGUUCACUUCCCGGACUCCGCCGGAAAGAGACCAUCACGGUUACACAUGCGGUUGAUGUAUUUUAAUUAAGGUCAACUUCAGGUUUUCUACAACUGGACAUUAACAAAUUUCCAUCUGCCCAUAACCGCGGGCACGGCUUUCGAAAGUUCAAAUCCCUGCAGGGGUGUCCCAACUUAGCCCAUAACAAGCUCUCACGGUCAAAGAAGGAUAUUCCUUCUAGCGGGAAGACCCGAUCAGACUCGGAAUCCCGGUUACAAGACAUUUCGACAAGGUAAAACUAAACCAGCAACACCGCCCGAGUAUGCCGACAAAUCCCGAUCUCGGGGCGUUACAAGCGACCCAGGCACAUCGGUCUCGGGGCGUUACAAGCGACCCAGGCACUACUGACAGCAGAAACGCUGCCGUGGCAGCCAAAUCAGCUGCCAUGGCUGCCACCUCGGAUCGAGUGACGUCGCAGGGACAAAACCGCGUCCCAAGUCGCCCACGUAGGAUCGCACAGCCGAACCGACGCUACGUGGGCCCCGAGUGGAUCACCUCUACUUAAGCAAGCGCAAUCCAUUUCUUCUGCAUCCGGGCUUGAAUCAAGGACAAGGCAAGGCACGACACGGCAUCUACUUUCCCCUUCUUCCCUCCUUUCCAAGUUGUAACUGAAUCUGAACAAAGAAGUUGUAUCUAAUAGAGAUAGUAAUACAGUGGGUGAGAUUAGCUGCUCACACCAAGUUUGUGAGCCAGUCCACAAAAUGCUAGCAUGGACCUCUCAGGCCACACUACCAGCCAAGGCCAAGGUUGACAUCGUCAAGGCCUUGAAGAGCAUCAACCCCGGCACUUACAAUGUUUCACUACCACAGAUACAUGGCCUCCACAGUCUUGGUAAGACUUCUACGGAGAUCAUCCUACAAUGUCACCUAGCCACGGAGCUCCUGGACAUGCAUGUAAAGCGAGCAAAGGACAACAGCAAGAAGAAGAAGAAGAAGAUCGACGAGGAAAACGACCACCGAAUUGUGACAACGAGACUAUCGAGAUACUGCAUGUACCUUGUGGCACGCACACCGGAGCUUCUGCCGGACAAUGAGAUCUGGGUAUCAGACAGGUAUGAUGACAUGAGAAGCUGUCUGAAGAAAGUGUCAAGCCGGUGCUUCUGCGGCUUGCCCUGGCAAGCGCUGCUCGACAUGGACGCUGAAUCAACGGAGCGUCUCCAAGACCCAACGGCGCGGGAUGGCGUGAAGUUGUUUCAGAGGCGCAGGGAGUGCGCUGACAAGGACAAGGGCAGGAUGUGGGAGGAAAUGGCCCAAUUCUGGGUCGACCUCAUUAUUUACCUGGCCCCGUCCAAUGACGUCGAAGGUCAUGCCAAGGCACUGGCGUCGUCAGGCGGCGACCUCAUCACUUGCCUCUGGGCGUUUUGCACUCAUGCAGGUAUUAGUCGACCUCGAACCCCCAUCACCGAUGCCAAUCAAGAGGUGUGAUCCAAAAUUAUUCCUUGGUUAUGCUAUCUUCAUUCAUAUUUUAGUCAGAGCUAUUCAUGUGAGGUGAGGUGCUUGGCUUUGUAUGGUGUAUGUAUUUGGCUGGUUUGAUUUAUACCCAUUGGGUUUAGUGGCUCAUGUAUAAUUUGUAUCUUUAUUGUGUGCCUAUAAAUUCAAAUCUUGCUUAUGAUAAUUUGCAAUACCGAAUACAGUAGUACUCCCUCCGUUCCUAAAUAUAAGUCUUUUUAGAGAUUUCAACAGACUACAUACGAAGCAAAAUGAGUAAAUCUAUACUCUAAAAUAUGUCUGUAUGUUAUAGUCCAUUUAAAACCUCUAAAAAGACUUAUAUUCAGGAACGGAGUGAAUAGUUAAUUCCACUUGUUACCCCUAGUUUCACAUUUGUGACAACAAUUACCCCAUUUAGCAGAUUUUUCAUAUUUUUAUAAAAUUAAGUAGACUUGGACCACUAAUUACCCCUUUAAUUUUUUCCGUUCUGACUCCUGGGAAUUGUGCACUCGCCGUUUCUGGUCCGAUCAACUCUGUAUGCCCGAUCAACUAGAUUUUGUUAUAUCUUUAUCUCAAUUUUAUUCGAGUGAAACUUACAAAGCCGCCAGGGCGUUCGUACCAGCCGUCGCAAGGAUUUUUUUUGCCUCCCGCCAGCGUCGACGUUGGUCUGCCUCGUCUCCUGUGGCCUUAGGGUCAUGGAGGCGUGGUAAAUCCGGACCCUUACUGAUGGGAGGGCUUCAUUUUCAUUAUGCUUUUCUGAGUUUUUUUAGGGUAUGUGUCCUGCUCAGAGAGACAAGGCGGUGGCGACUCUCUGAAGAUGGAGUAAGAUUCUCCCCGCCUAGCCCCCGUCAGAUAGUGCUUCUAGCGUCAUUAGAGGACGUGUGAAGGUUUGUCUCCGGGGAAUCUCGCGGGAUUCGGUCGGCGUUUGUCUUCAGUGAAUCCAUAUGGAUCCGGUAUUUGUCUGUGUGUGUUCGUGUGUCUACAGGCUGGAUUCUUUUGAUCUAAGCUUCUCUUCAAUGGCGUCGGUUGCUGUUAUUAUGCGCUGGUUCAAUAGGGUCUUAUCACGGCCACUUUUUGAUUGUCUACUACAACAAGUUUUGCCUGGCUCCAGUGAGGGAAGAGCGAUGACGGGCGCGCCUUCGGCUCGCUUCGGUACUUGUAGUCGUUGCUAGGUUGUCUAAGAAUCUGAAUGUAAUUUUUAUUAUUUCUAGUAUUCGUUGUAUUACUAUAAUUGAUGAUGAAUAGAUGAAAAGUUUUCAAAAAAAAGUACAAGUGACUGUAAUUGUCGUCUAGUACUAAUGCUCAUAAGGACCAAGAGCAACAGUUCUCAACUUUCGUCUGUUUCCAAAAACUUCUUCCUCUAAAACUAUUUUAUUUUAUUUGUUAUUAAACAAAACUAGCUAAAUGGUUAGGGCCCACCAGUCAGUGACACGCGUAACAGCCACCGGCGAUGGGCGGUGAGAUGGCCGCCAGGGGGUGGUGACGCGGGCGCGGGGUGGCCGCCGGCGAGGCAACGACACAUUCGGCGGUGGUGGCGCGAGCGGCGGCGCUCCAGUGUGGCGACGCGCACGGCGGCAUUCCGGCAGGGCGCACGCUGAAGUUUGAGAUGGUUACUAGUUCACCAUAAUUAUAUAGGAAUGACAUCUUCCCGUAGACCUGGAUAGGAUUUAGGCUGAUUUACGGGAUACUUUAAAGUUAAGGAAGGUUUCCGGAUCUGUUGGAGAGAUUUUUUUUGUCCCAACUUUUCGUAAACGUCAGUUAAAUUAGAGAUAGGAAAACUGUUAAAGUUGCUCUAAGAAGUGAACUACUAAAAUCUUACAUGUCUCGCAUAUACCUCACAAAAAGAUAGUUUCUUUUUGAAGAAAAAUUCAAAUCUAAUUUACAGUUUUGCUAAAGCACAUCUAGAUGUGCCAUAAGUAUUGUACAUCCAAGUCCUAUAUCAUUGAUCUUACAUCGAGAUUCGUAUGGAUAUUUUUCUUCUUCUUUGUGCUUGAUUCACUCACUUAGAUGUGCAAUAAUUAGGGCACAUCUAGAUGUGCCCUAGACACACCCAUCUAUUUAUUAACUGUCAAAUCAGUGCAAAGAACAUCAAAAUUUACAUCUAGUUUCAUAUGCCAUCAGGGCCGGUCCUGAUAUUUUGGGGGCCCGGGAUGAAACAAAAACUCGAGGCCCUCAAUAUAAAUGCAAUAAUAAUAUAUUAAUAUGUAUGAAAUAUUAUUAAUAACGCUCCAAUGAAUCCAAAAUCAACAUAUCAAAUAAUUUACACAUAUUAUCUCAAAAUUUCUUCUAACAUUCCUCGAUGUGGAGUUAUCAAACCAUUUAACCUAUGUUAAGUCAUGGUUGGCCUCAAAUAGUUCUUUGAUAGUUUUUCAACACUGAAAAUUUUGUGAAUAUCUCCCUCGGUGAUUGUAUGAAAUCAUCCACACCUUUUCAUUUUCCUUUUAUCGCUACCAUGCAUACUUUCUUCACAACAUAAAUAAUAUUCUCUUUGUCCCGAAAUAAGUAUCUAAAUCAAAGAACCUUAUUUUGGGAUGGAGGGAGUAACACAUAAUGCUGGGAAAAAACUACAUCAAAUGUUGAAUGGUUCCAGCAAUAAAUCAUGUAGGGUAGAGAUAAGGAAAUGAUAAUAUGAUACCUCGGAUUGGUCAAAUCGGCGAUUUACCUGUGUGUGCCAAAAGAUGGAAGAGGAUAGCAGUGUGGCGUAUUGAUUAGCGUCUCGCGAUCGGGGGUCUGGGAACUGAAAUCGGCGAGACAACAAACUGACGAUCGGAAUUAUAGGAGAGAAGGAGCGCAACCUCGCCAACAUUAUGGUGGUGUGCGGCCUGAGAUGGGAUCGCUGGCUCGGCUAAACGACGAACUGACGAUCGUCGGAAUUAGGAGAGAAAAGAGAGCGAAGUCGCGAACAAUAUGGUUGUCGGCGGCAUCAAUUGGGGAUCGCUGGCUCGCUGCGUCUGUGUGAUGGAAUAGCCAGGAAGGACUCGAUCGCCUUCCUUUUUCUACGCAAAGGAAUCAAUAGCUUUUUUUUGGGGGAAAAGGAAUCAAUAGCUCGGCGUUGUGUGAGUACGUCAAUCUCAUCGUUGCCUCCAUGGGGCAUGGCCAUCGGCCUUUUUUUCUUCGGAAAUGUUGACGUCCACACGUGUGGGCGUUUGCAUCUCGUCACACGCGUGGAUCCGCGUCCGUUCGUGAGCGCAUGAAUUUUGACAUGUUUCUAGUGCCACGUAGGACUGGUCUGGUGUGUGGGCGUUCAGCCGGUCGCCCACACGGCCGUUUCACCAUACAAGAGGGGCUGGUGUGUGGGCGUUCAGCAGUUCGCCCACACGCCACUUUGCACGCACACACAAGGGCUAGUGUAUGUGCAUUUGGCAUCUUGCCCACACGCCCUUGUCCUCUCCCACACCCAAGCUGCUAGUUGUCAUGUGUUGCACUGCACAUGGCAAUUGUCCCUAGUGUGCUUUUAUAAGCAGGUGGCAACUCUUCUUUUUUUACCCGAAUUUGCCAUGUGUUUUGCAGGGUACACGGCAACUGCCUAGUGUGCACGUAAGCAGAUGGCAACUCUCUUUUACCGAGUUGCCAUAUGUUUUUGCAUGGUACAUGGCAACUGCCCUAACGUGCAUGUACAUGACAACUGCCCUAACGUGCACGUAAGCAUAUGGCAACUCUUCCUUUUUACAUGGCAACUGCCCUAGCAUGCUUGUGAGCACAUGAUAACUCUCUCAACUGCCUAGUGUUAGUAUGUGGCAACUCCUAAAGUUAUGAAAUCAUGACAACUACAUUAGAUCAGACCAUACAUGGCAACUGCAGUUGAGCAACCAUGGCAACUGCAGUUGUUCGACAUGCAAACGUAGUUCAGCGACAUGGCAACUGCAAUUAAACAAACAUGGACGAGGGUCUGGACCAUGGCAACUGCGGGCGCGCGGUGACCGUCACGCGUGGCGUGCGGGAACAGGAGGUACGAGGCUUGACAUACGGGCGUGUGGGCGUUAUCAACUUCGCCCACACACACGUAUGUGAGAGGGAUCGGGAGGGAACAACGAGGCGUGUGGGCGCUAAUUGUUUUGCCCACACGUAGGUGUGUGGGCUGUUCCUCUUAUACACCACACAAAAUGUGUGGGUGGACUCCCUAACGUCCACACGUGUGGCACUUAUCGGCGUCCUUUUUCUUAGCACAAGCAGUAUGACCGUAGCCUACCUGCUGCAUAUCUAGCAACAAUCGUAAGUUCCUUGCAAAAAAAAGAGUAAAGACCACAAGCGCUGAGCCAGCCGAAGGCACGACGCCGUCGUUGUCCCUUCCUCAUCGAAGCCGGACAAACCUUAUUAUACUUAACAGUUGUGAAUUCGUCGUGCUAAGGCCUCACAAAAUCAGCGCAUCAGAACAACAACGAUCGUCGAGGAGGAAAGGUGCAGAUUCAAGGAUACAACAUGUAGAUACACGAAUGCAGACGCAAGAAGACUGGAUGCAAGCAGAUCAACCGAAGACAAACACCGACAGAAUCCCGUGAGAUCCAUCGGAGGCACACCUCACCUCGACACACACACACACGACAACGCUAAAUGCACAGUCGGGACAGGGCUAGACGGAUAGAACCUUAUCCUAUUUUCAGGGAGCCCCGCCGUCUCGCCUCCUGAUCAGGACACAAACCCUAACUAAAAUAAAAUAACACCUAAAAACGAAGCCUUCCUAUCGAUCAUGGUUGGGAUCCACUGCGCCUCCAUGGUUCUAAGGCCACAAGAGACAAGUAGACUAGCGACGACGUCAAUAGAGGCAGAGAAACCCUAUUGUCUAUGCUCCCGAGAGUCACAAAUGAAGGGGUGUGAAAUCAUCUAGAAAAAAGAAAUGCUUGUUUCAAAAUACAUUUUCUUUUUGCAAAACCAUGUAUUAUUUGCUGUAAAAUUGUCACUGUCACUAGAUAAGAUAAGAUUCAGUUUUUGUUUGAAAAUGAUGGCCAAUCCUGAUCAAUUAAAAGUGGUGAGUACAUGUCCCAUGCAUGACCACCAACAUUAGUUAUAUAACUAGAAGCAUUUUGCGUGCUUUGCUUCACCGCUUUCUCAGAUGGACUGCGGCAUCCUCAUGCAUAUACAUCAGGACAACCUAUCGCACUCAACGUAUGAACAUGGAUCAACCUUGGUCUUGCUCACAUAAAUAUCCACGACAUAUGAAAAUGGUUUGCCAAUCCCAUGCUGUGACAAUAUCGGUGGCAGUUACACUCCAUAUUACCGUGAAGGAACUACAAGUGAUCAUUAAUACACAUCAGCAACCUUUGAGGUCUGCCCGGAUGAGGCCCAAAAGGAAAUCAAUCAAGUGCUUGAGAUCACAUCCGCAACCUUUGAGAGCAAAUAUCUGGGACUGACCACUCCAGAGGGGAGAAUGGAAGACUCUCUAUUCCAACCGAUAAUGGAAAGAUUUGUCAAAAGAUGCAUGGAUUGGUCAGAGAGGUUCAUGUAUCAUGCAGCUAAAGAGGCUCUAGUAAAGUCGAUGCUUCAGGCCUUGCCUGCAUACUGUGUGGGAGUUUUUAGAAUGUCCCAAGGAUUCUGCGAGAAAUAUGAAAAACUCAUUAGGGAGUUCUGGUGGGGAGAGGAAAAUGGUCGCAGGAAAGUGCAAUGGAUGUCUUGGGAACAAAUAACCAAACCUAAGAGAGGGGGGCAUUGGUUUCAGGGAUAUGAAGCUGUUUAACCAAGCCCUGCUUGCAAGGCAAGCUUGGAGGUUGAUCCAAAGACCAGAAAGCAUGUGUGCAAUGGUUCUGAAAUCCAAAUACUACCCGAAUGGGGAUCUAUUAGACACGGUGUUCGCCUCAGAUGCAUCACCGGGGUGGAGAGGAAUCGAAUACGGGCUCGAGCUGCUCAAAGAGGGCCUUAUAUGGAGGAUUGGGAAUGGGAGGAAGAUCAACAUUCAACGUGACAAAUGGAUCCCAAGGAAGGAAGGUCUCAAAGCCACAAAGUUCAUUCGAAACUGCAGACUAAGAUGGGUUAACCAGCUGCUUUUGCCAGAAGGGAGUGAUGGAACACAGAAUUAGUCCAUCGGUUGUUCUACAUUUUUGAUGCGGAGGCUAUCUGUAACAUCGAAUUGCCAAGCUCGGUUGGCGAUGAUGUGUUGGCUUGGCAUAUUGAGAAAAAUGGCAAGUUCUUGGUUCGCAGUGCAUAUAGGCUUGCGGCUACCCGACAGAACCAGGUUAACAAGGCUGCAUCAAGCUCCAGUCAAGUUACCGAUGAUCGCAGCAUAUGGGACAUGAUUUGGAAAGCUAAGGUCCCGGAGAAAGUUUGAAUUUUUGGCUGGAGGGUAGCCACGAAUACUUUGGCUACAAAGAGAAACAAGUGGAAAUGAAACCUUGAGUUGGAUAACAUAUGCAAGAUUUGCGGCAAUGGAGAAGAGGAUGAAUUCCAUGCCAUGAUUGCCUGUACUAAGUGCAGGGUGCUGAGGAACAAAAUGAGGAAAGUCUGGGACUUACCCAGUGAGGUGCUGUCUAGGAACACAGGAGAGGAUUGGCUCCAAAAUCUGCUACUCCCCUGCUGCAAGGAGACUAGGACAAAAAUCUUACUGUAACUGUGGCGAUGUUGGUUUCUGAGGUAUGAGUGCGUUCAUAACUUUGGAAAAGAAUUGAUUGGGCGGUCAGCUGCUUUCCUGAGUUAGUACGAGGUCGAACUAGGCGGUCUGGACAGCGAGCCGGACUAGGGGACAGGAAUAUCAAAGAACAAGCGACAAAAUGACCAGGCCUCGGCCAGGCAAGCCACCUCGGUAUCCACAACAACGUCGAUCACCUGCUGUGAGUGGAGAGUUUUAGAGGCAACUCUGUCGAAUUGGUGGAUACCUCCAGUGACAGGAAGUGUAAAAUUGAACAGUGACACCUCCUAUCUGGCUGACAUUGGACAGACCUGCAUCGAAGCGGAUGCAAGAGAUUACAGAGGCUUCGUCCUCCUCACCGUCAAGGAAGUGUGAAAGGACUGAAGGAGUGGAGGAAGCAGAAGUGUGGGCCUUACUGUUGGGUUUACGCGUCCUGUCCACCUCGUUCGCUGGUUUAAUUAUUGCGGAAACUGACUGUGCUUUUCUUGCGAACGAGCUGCAAUCGGGCAUUGAUAACCACUCUGGAGUGUUCUUGGUGGUAUACGAUAUUAAAAAGGAAUUUGGAAAGUUCCAAUCAGUCCUAGUAACGCACACAAGUAGGAAACAAAAUUCCCUUGCCCACUGCCUGGCUGCGAGGGCGAGGACUAUGGAGGAAGUGCAAGUAACAACAGGGGUGCCAGAAGAUUUGAAGGAAGUGAUGACCGUUGACUAUGUGUUGGCGCCGGAGUAAUGUUGUUACUCUUCGAUCCUCAAAAAAAUUACCACACACCAGCAUAACAAAAUACAACACAACAACUCAAAACCAAAAAAUAGAAAACAAAGAUUUCUCUCCAUGUCAUGGCAAAACAACAAAAAGAACAUGGACCACCAAUCCACGCACACAACCAAAGGUUCCCAUGAGCAAAGGGCCGUCGUAAGAGCAAGCAUGCACUCAAUAGCCAAUAGAAAAACAUCCAACAUCAAUCCAGUCCAAUCUCAUCAAGUCUAUCAACAACAAACACUCUAAUGUACCAGCACUCUCUAAAGCAACAACUAAUAAUAGCCAUACAAUCAAAUGCAUGAGGAAGGCAACACAGAAAAAUCUUAAUAUUGAACAAGAGUGAAAAGAACAGUGUCCCAUGGGAAGACAUCGAACAAAGGAACGAAAAAGACACCACUCUCAGCCGAUGAGGUCUCAACCACCGAACGCCCAACCGGGAAAGGCCGCUCCCUGCUGGCAAGGUUGCAGCGGUCGAACCUUGCCAGCUAGGAGCUACGUCUUUCUCAGCCAGUGUGCUCGCAGCCGCCAAACACCCAACCGGGAAAGGCUGAGCUCCCCUCAAGUCGCGUGCUCCCAGCCGUCAUGAUCUCAUCAAGCCACCUCUGCGCAUAAUCACCCCUGAUUUUCCCCUCUCCACCUCCGUGUGGUCAUUCCCCUGUCCACACAACAAGCCCAAACAGUAAAAGAAUCGUGUGCCCCAUAGAGAUGCCAUGCGACAGGAACACAUGGCACAUGACAACACCUGGCUUGAGGCAUACUAGACAUGGUCAACACCAGUUGAUCAAUAGGGAAAGGAGCAAAACAAACUUCGGAUUUUUGUGGGCUCUCGAAAUCAUUGCCCUGAAUCGACUCAUAUCGCUCCACUUACCAACAGGCCCACCCAUCAACAGAUCACUCCACAAAGCACAACAUCUUGACCAAGUCAAAAUCAUCGACCAAUUCUAAAAUUGGAUGCUCAAUUUGUUGAGAGAGCUUUCACCCCUAAGAGCAUCUCUAGCAGACCCGACCCUUAAACCACGGAUAAGGGCCGAGAAAAACGCGGUUUAAAGGUCGAGAACAGAGCCCGCAAACCCGAGCGGUAAAAGAGAAUAUCCCCUGAUAUUAUCUUUUACCGCUCAGGUUUGCGGGCUAUGUUUCGCUCGCUGCCGAUUUUGGCCCUCAAACCGUAAAACCACACAAAUCAAUUGAUCGCGAUUUUGACAAAUAAAAUACAAAUUUCGAGAAUUCAAACACAGUUUUGGCGACAUUUGAACAUAGUUUUCACGCCACAAUCCAAAAGACAUCGCAUCCAUCAUCACUCAUCCAUCAUCAUCAUCACAAGAUGAAAUCUUCACCGCCACCAUUACCACCACCACUUACCUAACCAUCAUGCUCACCGAACCUUGGCACUGCAUGGCUUCUUGUGGCUAGCCUCCUCCUCUCCAAGAUCUCCAACCUUGCUAUGUCAUGCCAUUCGUUGGUGAGCUUAUCCAUCUCAUUUUGAUUCAUCACAUGAUCUUGUUCUCCUCUUAAAGAAGCUUGGCCAUGGCUUUGUUCUCCUCGGCCAUGGCUCUUCUCUCCUUAAUGGCGGCGUUGCGCAUGGUCUCCUCCUUGAGUAGUUGUUGAUACGUCUCCAACGUAUCUAUAAUUUUUGAUUUCUCCAUGCUAUAUUACCUAUUGUUUUGGACAUUAUUAGGCUAUAUUAUCCACUUUUAUAUUAUUUUUGGGACUAACCUACUAACCGGAGACCCAGCCCAGAAUUGUUGUUUUUUGCCUAUUUUAGGGUUUCGAAGAAAAGGAAUAUCAAACGGAGUCCAAAAGGAAUGAAACAUUCGGGAACGUGAUUUUCUCACCGAACAUGAUCCAGGAGACUUGGACCCUAUGUCAAGCAACUAACAGGGAGGCCACGAGGUAGGGGGCGCGCCUACCCCCCCCAGGCACGCCCUCCACCCUCAUGGGCCCCCUGUUGCUCCACCAACGUACUUCUUCCUCCUAUAUAUACCUACGUACCCCCAAACGAUCAGAUACGGAGCCAAAACCCUAAUUCCACCGUCUUAACUUCCUAUAUCCACGAGAUCCCAUCUUGGGGCCUGUUCCGGAGCUCCGCCGGAGGGGGCAUCGAUCACGGAGGGCUUCUACAUCAACACCAUAGCAUCUCCGAUGAAGUGUGAGUAGUUUACCUCAGACCUUCGGGUCCAUAGUUAUUAGCUAGAUGGCUUCUUCUCUCUUUUUGGAUCUCAAUACAAAGUUCUCCCCCUCUCUUGUGGAGAUCUAUUCGAUGUAAUCUUCUUUCGCGGUGUGUUUGUUGAGACCGAUGAAUUGUGGGUUUAUGAUCAAGUUUAUCUACGAACAAUAUUUGAAUCUUAUCUGAAUUCUUUAUGUAUGAUUGGUUAUCUUUGCAAGUCUCUUCGAAUUAUCAGUUUGGUUUGGCCUACUAGAUUGAUCUUUCUUGCAAUGGGAGAAGUGCUUAGCUUUGGGUUCAAUCUUGCGGUGUCCUUUCCCAGUGAUAGUACGGGCAGCAAGGCACAUAUUGUAUUAUUGCCAUUGAGGAUAACAAGAUGGGGUUUUCAUCAUAUUGCAUGAGUUUAUCCCACUACAUCAUGUCAUAUUGCUUAAAGUGUUACUCUGUUCUGUUGAACUUAAUACUCUAGAUGCAUGCUGGAUAGCGGUCGAUGUGUGGAGUAAUAGUAGUAGAUGCAGGCAGGAGUCGGUCUACUUGUCUCGGACAUGAUGCCUAUAUACAUGAUCAUACCUAGAUAUUCUCAUAACUAUGCUCAAUUCUGUCAAUUGCUCAACAAUAAUUUGUUCAUCCACCGUAAAAUACCUAUGCUCUUGAGAGAAGCCACUAGUGAAACAUAUGGCCCCCAGGUCUAUCUUCAUCAUAUUAAUAUUCCAAUACUUAGUUAUUUUCAUUGCUUUUAUUUUACUUUGCAUCUUUAUCAUAAAAAUACCAAAAAUAUUAUCUUAUCAUAUCUAUCAGAUCUCACUCUCGUAAGUGACCGUGUAGGGAUUGACAACCCCUUAUCGCAUUGGUUGCGAGGAUUUAUUUGUUUUGUCUAGGUGCGAGGGACUCGCGUGUAGCCUCCUACUGGAUUGAUACCUUGGUUCUCAAAAACUGAGGGAAAUACUUAUGCUACUUUGCUGCACCACCCUUUCCUCUUCAAGGGAAAACCAACACAAGUGCUCAAGAGGUAGCAAGAAGGAUUUAUGGCGCCGUUGCCGGGGAGGUCUACGCAAAAGUCAAACAUACCAAGUACCCAUCACAAACCCUUAUCUCCCGCAUUACAUUAUUUGCCAUUUGCCUCUCAUUUUCCUCUCCCCCACUUCAUCCUUACCGUUUUAUUCGCCCUCUCUCUCUAUCCUCCCUCUCUUUCUCUAUUUCCCUCUUUUUGCCCGUUUCUUGUUUGCUUGUGUGUUGGAUUGCUUGCUUGUCACGAUGGCUCAAGACAACACUAAAUUGUGUGACUUUACCAAUACCAACAAUAAUGAUUUUAUUAGCACUCUGAUUGCUCCUCUUACCGAUGCUGAAUCUUGUGAAAUUAAUGCUGCCUUGCUGAAUCUUGUCAUGAAAGAUCCGUUUUCCGGCCUUCCUAGUGAAGAUGCCGCUACCCAUCUAAAUAGCUUCGUUGAUUUGUGUGAUAUGCAAAAGAAGAAAGAUGUGGACAAUGAUAUUGUUAAAUUGAAGCUAUUUCCUUUUUUUGCUUAGAGAUCAUGCUAAAGCUUGGUUUUCGUCUUUGCCUAAAAACAGUAUUGAUUCGUGGAAUAAGUGCAAAGAUGCUUCUAUCUCUAAGUAUUUUCCUCCCGCUAAGAUCAUCUCUCUUAGAAACGAUAUUAUGAAUUUUAAGCAACUUGAUCAUGAACAUGUUGCACGAGCUUGGGAGAGGAUGAAAUUGAUGAUACGUAAUUGCCCUACUCAUGGUUUGAAUUUGUGGAUGAUUAUACAAAAAAUUUAUGCCGACUUGAAUUUUGCUUCUAGAAAUCUUUUAGAUUUGGCCACGGGAGGCACUUUUAUGGAAAUCACUUUAGGAGAAGCUACUAAACUCCUAGAUAAUAUUAUGGUUAAUUAUUCUCAAUGGCACACUGAAAGAUCUACUAAUAAGAAAGUGCAUGCGAUAGAAGAAAUUAAUGUUUUGAGUGGAAAGAUGGAUGAACUUAUGAAAUUAUUUGCUAAUAAAAGUGUUUCUUCUUAUCCUAAUGAUAUGCCUUUGUCUACUUUUAUUGAGAAUAAUAAUGAAUCUAUGGAUGUGAAUUUUGUUGGUAGGAACAAUUUUGGUAACAACGCGUAUAGAGGAAAUUUUAAUCCUAGGCCUUAUCCUAGUAAUUCCUCUAAUAAUUAUGGUAAUUCCUACAACAAUUCUUAUGGAAAUUAUAUUAAGAUGCCCUCUGAUUUUGAAUCUAAUAUUAAAUAAUUUAUUACUUUGCAAAAGAAUUUCAAUGCUUUGAUUGAAGAAAAAUUGCUUAAGAUUGAUGAGUUGGCUAGGAACGUUGAUAGAAUUUCUCUUGAUGUUGAUUCUUUGAAAUUUAGAUCUAUUCCUCCUAAGCAUGAUAUCAAUGAGUCUCUCAAUGCCAUGAGAAUUUCCAUUGAUGAGUGCAAAGAAAGAACCGCUAGGAUGCGUGCUAAGAAAGAUUCAUUUAUAAGAGCGUGUUCUUCUAGUUUCCAUGAUAAUAAAGAUGAAGAUCUAAAAGUUAUUCAUGUGUCCCCUAUUAAAUAUUUGUUUUGCAAUAUGAAUCUUGAUAAUGAUGGGACUGAAUAUGAUCCACCUUUACCUAGAAGGCGUUCAAAAAAUUCAGAGUUUUUAGAUCUUGAUGCUAAAUUUGAUAAAAGUGGGAUUGAAGAGAUCAAAACUCUAGAUGUUAAUGAACCUACUAUUUUGGAUUUCAAGGAAUUUAAUUAUGAUAAUUGCUAUUUGAUAGAUUGUAUUUCCUUGUUGUAAUCCGUGCUAAAUUCUCCUCAUGCUUAUAGUCAAAAUAAAGCUUUUACCAAACAUAUCGUUGAUACUUUGAUGCAAUCUUAUGAAGAAAAACUUGAGUUGGAAGUUUCUAUCCCUACAAAACUUUAUGGUGAGUGGGAACCAACUAUUAAAAUUAAAAUUAAAGAUCAUGAAUGCUAUGCUUUGUGUGAUUUGGGUGCUAGUGUUUCCACGGUUCCAAAGACUUUGUGUGAUUUGUUAGGUAUCCGUGAUUUUGAUGAUUGCUCUCUAAACUUGCACCUUGCGGAUUCCACUAUUAAGAAACCUAUGGGAAGAAUUAAUGAUGUUCUCAUUGUUUAAAAUAGGAAUUAUGUACCCGUAGAUUUUAUUUGUUCUUGACAUAGAUUGCAAUCCUUCAUGUCCUAUUAUUCUUGGUAGACCUUUCCUUAGAACGAUUGGUGCAAUUAUUGAUAUGAAGGAAGGAAAUAUUAGAUUCCAAUUUCCAUUAAGGAAAGUCAUGGAACACUUUCCUAGAAAGAAAAUUAAAUUACCUUAUGAAUCUAUUAUGAGAGACACUUAUGGAUUGCCUACCAAAGAUGUCAAUACCUAGAUCUAUCCUUGCUUUUUAUGCCUAGCUAGGGGCGUUAAACGAUAGCGCUUGUUGGGAGGCAAGCCAAUUUUCUUCCUUGUUUUUGCUACUGUUUAGUAAUAAAUAAUUUAUUUAGCCUCUGUUUUGGUUGUGUUUUUUGUAUUUAAUUAGUGUUUGUGCCAAGUAGAACCGUUGGGAAGACUUGGGGAAAGUCUUGUUAAUCUUGCUGUAAAAAACAGAAACUUUAGCGCUCACGAGAACUGCUGCCAUUUUUAUUUGGAAAGUGAUAUUUAGUUAAUUAUUUUUUCAGAUGAUUAAUAGAUAAAUUCCUCACUUCCAGCAAUUUAUUUUAGAAUUUUUGGGGUUCCAGAUCUUACGCUAGCUACAGAUUACUACAGACUGUUCUGUUUUUGACAGAUUCUGUUUUUCGUGUGUUGUUUGCUUAUUUUGAUGAAUCUAUGACUAGUAAAAUAGUUUAUAAACCAUAGAGAAGUUGGAAUACAGUAGGUUUAACACCAAUAUAAAUAAAGAAUUAGUUCAUUACAGUACCUUGAAGUGGUCUUUUGUUUUCUUUCGCUAACGGAGCUCACGAGAUUUUAUACUUUAAGUUUUGUGUUGUGAAGUUUUCAAGUUUUGGGUAAAGAUUUGAUGGAUUAUGGAACAAGGAGUGGCAAGAGCCUAAGCUUGGGGAUGCCCAUGGCACCCCCAAUAUAAUCUAAGGACACCUAAAAGCCAAAGCUUGGGGAUGCCCCGGAAGGCAUCCCCUCUUUCGUCUACUUCUAUCGGUAACUUUACUUGGAGCUAUAUUUUUAUUCACCACAUGAUAUGUGUUUUGCUUGAAGCGUCUUGUAUGAUCUGAGUCUUUAUUUGUUAGUUUACCACAAUCAUAUUUGAUGUACACACCUUUUGAGAGACACACACAUGAUUCGGAAAUUAUUAGAAUACUCUAUGUGCUUCACUUAUAUCUUUUGAGUUAUAUAGUUUUGCUCUAGUGCUUCACUUAUAUCUUUUAGAGCACGGUGGUGGAUUUUUUUAUAGAAACUAUUGAUCUCUCAUGCUUCACUUAGAUUAUUUUGAGAGUCUUAAAUAUCAUGGUAAUUUUCUUAAAUAGUCCUAAUAUGUGUUGGGGAACGUAGUAAUUUCAAAAAUUUCCUACGCACACGCAAGAUCAUGGUGAUGCAUAGCAACGAGAGGGGAGAGUGUUGUCUACGUACCCUCGUCGACCGAAAGCGGAAGCGUUAUGACAACGCGGUUGAUGUAGUCGUACGUCUUCAUGGCCCGACCGAUCAAGCACCGAAACUACGGCACCUCCGAGUUCUAGCACACGUUCAGCUCGAUGACGAUCCCCGGACUCCGAUCCAGCAAAGUGUUGGGGAAGAGUUUCAUCAGCACGACAGCGUGGUGACGAUCUUGAUGUUCUACGGUCGCAGGGCUUCGCCUAAGCACCACUACAAUAUUAUCGAGGACUAUGGUGGAGGGAGGCACCGCACACGACUAAGAGAACGAUCUUGAAGAUCAACUUGUGUCUAGAGGUGCCCCCCUGCCCCCGUAUAUAAAGGAGCAAGGGGGGAGGAGGCCGGCCCUAGGAGGGGCGCGCCAGGGGAGUAGGAUUCCUACUCCUAGUUGGAGUAGGUUUCCUCCUUUCCUAGUCCAACUAGGAGAAGGGGGAAAGGGGGGAAGAGGGGAAGGAAGGGAGAGAGGGGCCGCGCUCCAAACCCCUUGUCCAAUUCGGACUGGGCUUGGGAGGGGCGCGCGCCACCUCCUGGUCCUUCCCACUAAGGCCCAUUAAGGCCCAUUGCUUCUUCCUCGUAUUCUCGUAACUCCCCAGUACCUCUGAAAAUACCCGAAUCACAAGGAACCUUUCCGAUGUCCGAAUAUAGUCGUCCAAUAUAUCGAUCUUUACGUCUCGACCAUUUCGAGACUCCUCGUCAUGUCCCCGAUCUUAUCCGGGACUCCAAACUCCUUCGGUACAUCAAAACUUAUAAACUCAUAAUAUAACUAUCAUCGAAACCUUAAGCGUGCGGACCCUACAGGUUCGAGAACAAUGUAGACAUGACCGAGACAUGUCUCCGGUCAAUAACCAAUAGCGUAACCUGGAUGCUCAUAUUGGCUCCCACAUAUUCUACGAAGAUCUUUAUCGGUCAGACCGCAUAACAACAUACGGUGUUCCCUUUGUCAUUGGUAUGUUACUUGCCCAAGAUUCGAUCGUCGGUAUCUUAAUACUUAGUUCAAUCUCGUUACCGGCAAGUCUCUUUACUCGUUCCGUAAUACAUCAUCUCUCAACUAACUCAUUAGUUGCAAUGCUUGCAAGGCUUAUGUGAUGUGCAUUACCGAGAGGGCCCAGAGAUACCUCUCCGACAAUCGGAGUGACAAAUCUUAAUCUCGAAAUAUGCCAACCCAACAUGUACCUUUGGAGACACCUGUAGAGCUCCUUUAUAAUCACCCAGUUACAUUGUGACGUUUGGUAGCACACAAAGUGUUCCUCCGGCAAACGGGAGUUGCAUAAUCUCAUAGUCAUAGGAACAUGUAUAAGUCAUGAAGAAAGCAAUAGCAACAUACUAAACGAUCGGGUGCUAAGCUAAUGGAAUGGGUCAUGUCAAUCACAUCAUUCUUCUAAUGAUGUGAUCCCGUUAAUCAAAUAACAACUCUUUUGUUCAUGGUUAGGAAACAUAACCAUCUUCGAUUAACGAGCUAGUCAAGUAGAGGCAUACUAGUGACACUCUGUUUGUCUAUGUAUUCACACAUGUAUUAUGUUUCCGGUUAAUACAAUUCUAGCAUGAAUAAUAAACAUUUAUCAUGAUAUAAGGAAAUAAAUAAUAACUUUAUUAUUGCCUCUAGGGCAUAUUUCCUUCAGUCCCCCACUUGCACUAGAGUCAAUAAUCUAGUUCGCAUCGCCAUGUGAUUCAACAUUAAUAGUUCACAUCACCAUGUGAUUAACACCCAUAGUUCACAUCGUCAUGUGACCUAUACCCAAAUGGUUUACUAGAGUUAGUAAUCUAGUUCACAUCGUUUAUGUGAUUAACACCCAAAGAGUAUUAAGGUGUGAUCAUGUUUUGCUUGUGAGAUAAUUUUAGUGAACGGGUCUGUCACAUACAGAUCCGUAAGUAUUUUGCGAAUUCUAUGUCUACAAUGCUCUGCACGGAGCUACUCUAGCUAAUUGCUCCCACUUUCAAUAUGUAUCUAGAUCGAGACUUAGAGUCAUCCAGAUCUGUGUCAAAACUUGCAUCGACGUAACUUUUUACGACGAACCUUUUGUCACCUCCAUAAUUAAGAAAUAUUUCCUUAUUCCACUAAGCAUAAUUUUGACCACUAUCCAGUGAUCUACUCUUAGAUCACUAUUGUACUCCCUUGCUUAACACAGUGUAGGGUAUACAAUAGAUCUGGUACACAGCAUGGCAUACUUUAUAGAACCUAUGGCUGAGGCAUAGGGAAUGACUUUCAUUCUCUUUCUAUCUUUUGCCGUGGUCGGGCUUUGAGUCUUACUCAAUUUCACACCUUGUAACACAGCCAAGAACUCUUUCUUUGACUGUUCCAUUUUUGAACUACUUCAAAAUAUUGUCAAGGUAUGUACUCAUUGAAAAAACUUAUCAAGUGUCUUGAUCUAUCUCUAUAGAUCUUGAUGCUUAAUAUGUAAGCAGCUUCACCGAGGUCUUUCUUUGAAAAACUUCUUUCAAAACACUCCUUUAUGCUUUGCAGAAUAAUUCUACAUUAUUUCUGAUCAACAAUAUGUCAUUCACAUAUACUAAUCAGAAAUGUUGUGGUGCUCCCACUCACUUUCUUGUAAAUACAGGCUUCACCGCAAGUAUGUAUAAAACUAUAUGCUUUGAUCAUACUAUCAAAGCGUUUAUUCCAACUCCGAGAGGCUUGCACCAGUCCAUAAAUGGAUCGCUGGAGCUUGCACACUUUGUUAGCUCCUUUUGAAUCGACAAAACCUUCCGGCUGCAUCAUAUACAACUCUUCUUCCCGAAAUCCAUUCAGGAAUGCAGUUUUGACAUCCAUUUGCCGGAUUUCAUAAAAUGCGGCAAUUGCUAACAUGAUUCAGACAGACUUAAGCAUCGCUAUGAGUGAGAAAAUCUCAUCGUAGUCAACACCUUGAACUUUGUCAAAACCUUUUUUCGACAAGUCCAGCUUUGUAGAUAGUAACACUACUGUCAGCGUCCAUCUUCCUCUUGAAGAUCCAUUUAUUUUCUAUGGCUUUCCGAUCAACGGGCAAGUCAACCAAAGUCCACACUUUGUUCUCAUACAUGGAUCCCAUCUCAGAUUUCAUGGCUUCAAGCCAUUUUGCGGAAUCUGGGCUCACCAUCGCUUCUUCAUAGUUCGUAGGUUCAUCAUGAUCUAGUAACAUGACUUCCAGAAUAGGAUUACCAUACCACUCUGGUGCGGAUCUUACUUUGGUUGAUCUACGAGGUUUAGUAGUAUCUUGUUCUGAAGUUUCAUGAUCAUCAUCAUUAGCUUCCUCACUAAUUGGUGUAGGUGUCACAGAAACUGGUUUCUGUGAUGUACUACUUUCCAAUAAGGGAGCAGGUACAGUUACCUCAUCAAGUUCUACUUUCCUCCCACUCACUUCUUUCGAGAGAAACACCUUCUCUAGAAAGGAUCCAUUCUCAGCAAUGAAUAACUUGCCUUCGGAUCCGUGAUAGAAGGUGUACCCAACAGUCUCCUUUGGGUAUCCUAUGAAGACAUAUUUCUCCGAUUUGGGUUUGAGUUUAUCAGGAUGAAACUUUUUCAUAUAAGCAUCACAACCCCAAACUUUAAGAAACGACAACUUUGGUUUCUUGCCAAACCACAGUUCAGAUUGUGUCGUCUCAACGGACUUAGAUGGUGCCCUUUUAAACGUGAAUGCAGCUGUCUUUGAUGCAUAACCCCAAAACGAUGUUGGUAAAUCUGUAAGAAACAUCAUAGAUUGCACUAUAUCCAAUAAAGUACGGUUAUGACGUUCGGACACACCAUUAUGUUGUGGUGUUCCAGGUGGCAUGAAUUUGUGAAACUAUUCCACAUAGUUUUAAUUGAAGACCAAACUCGUAACUCAAAUAUUUGUCUAUGUGAUCAGAUCGUAGAAACCAUAUUUUUCUUUUUACGAUGAUUUUCCACUUCACUCUGAAAUUCUUUGAACUUUUCAAAUGUUUCAGACUUAUGUUUCAUCAAAUAUAUAUACCCAUAUCUGCUCAAAUCAUAUGUGAAGGUCAGAAAAUAACGAUACCCGCCGCGAGCUUCAACACUCAUCGGAUCGCAUACAUCAGUAUGUAUUAUUUCCAAUAAGUCAGUUGCUCGCUCCAUUGUUCCGGAGAACGGAGUCUUUAGUCAUCUUGCCCAUAAGGCAUGGUUCACAAGCACCAAGUGAUUCAUAAUCAAGUGAUUCCAAAAUCCCAUUAGCAUGGAGUUUCUUCAUGUGCUUUACACCAAUAUGACCUAGACGGCAGUGCCACAAAUAAGUUGCACUAUCAUUAUUAACUUUGCAUGUUUUGGUUUCAAUAUUAUGAAUAUGUGUAUCACUACGAUCGAGAUCCAAUGAACUAUUUUCAUUGGGUGUGUAACCAUAUAAGGUUUUAUUCAUGUAAACAGAACAACAAUUUAUUCUCUUACUUAAAUGAAUAACCGUAUUACAAUAAACAUGAUCAAAUCAUAUUCAUGCUCAACGCAAACACCAAAUACCACUUAUUUAGGUUCAACACUAAUCCCGAAAGUAUAGGGAGUGUGCGAUGAUGAUCAUAUCAAUCUUGGAACCACUUCCAACACACAUCGUCACUUCACCCUUAACUAGUCUCUGUUUAUUCUGCAACUCCCGUUUCGAGUUACUAAUCUUAGCAACUGAACUAGUAUCAAAUACUGAGGGGUUGCUAUAAACACUAGUAAAGUACACAUCAAUAACAUGUAUAUCAAAUAUACUUAUGUUCACUUUGCCAUCCUUCUUAUCCGCCAAUCACUUGGGGUAGUUCCGCUUCCAGUGACCAGUCCCUUUGCAGUAGAAGCACUUAGUUUCAGGCUUAGGACCAGACUUGGGCUUCUUCACUUGAGCAUCAACUUGCUUGUUGUUUUUCUUGAAGUUCCCCUUUUUCCCUUUGCCCUUUUCUUGAAACUAGUGAUCUUGUCAACCAUCAACACUUGAUGUUUUUCUCAAUUUCUACCUUCAUCGAUUUCAUCAUCAUGAAAAGCUCGGGAGUCGUUUUCGUCAUCCCUUGCAUACUAUAGUUCAUCACGAAGUUCUACUAACUUGGUGAUGGUGAAUAGAGAAUUUUGUCAAUCACUAUUUUAUUUAGAAGACUAACUCCCACUUGAUUCAAGCGAUUGUAGUACCCAGACAAUCUGAGCACAUGCUCACUAGUUGAGCGAUUCCCCUCCAUCUUUUAGCUAUAGAACUUGUUGGAGACUUCAUAUCUCUCAACUCGGGUAUUUGCUUGAAAUAUUAACUUCAACUCCUAGAACAUCUCAUAUGGUCCAUGAUGUUCAAACGUCUUUGAAGUCCCGAUUCUAAGCCGUUAAGCAUGGUGCACUAAACUAUCAAGUAGUCAUGAUAUUGAGCUAGCCAAACGUUCAUAACGUCUGCAUCUGCUCCUGCAAUAGGUCUGUCACCUAGCGGUGCAUCAAGGACAUAAUUCUUCUAUGCAGCAAUGAGGAUAAACCUCAGAUCACGGAUCCAAUCCGCAUCAUUGCUACUAACAUCUUUCAACACAAUUUUCUCUAGGAACAUAUCAAAAUAAACACAGGGAAGCAACAACGCGAGCUAUUGAUCUACAACAUGAUUUGAAAAAUACUACCAGGACUAAGUUCAUGAUAAAUUUAAGUUCAAUUAAUCAUAUUUCUAAAGAACUCCCCCUUAGAUAGACAUCCCUCUAAUCCUCUAAGUGAUCACGUGAUCCAAAUCAACUAAACCAUGUUCGAUCAUCACGUGAGAUGGAGUAGUUUCAUUGGUGAACAUCACUAUGUUGAUCAUAUCUACUAUAUGAUUCACGCUCGACCUUUCGGUCUCUGUGUUCCGAGGCCACAUCUAUAUAUGCUUGGCUCGUCAAGUAUGACCUGAGUAUUCCGCGUGUGCAACUGUUUUGCACCCGUUGUAUUUGAACAUAGAGCCUAUCACACCCGAUCAUCACGUGGUGUCUCAGCACGAAGAACUUUCGCAACGGUGCAUACUCAGGGAGAACACUUCUUGAUAAUUAGCGAGAGAUCAUCUUAAAAUGCUACCGUCAAACUAAGCAAAAUAAGAUGUAUAAAAGAUAAACAUCAUAUGCAAUCAAAAUAUGUGACAUGAUAUGGCCAUCAUCAUCUUGAGCCUUUGAUCUCCAUCUCCAAAGUACUGUCAUGAUCUCUAUCGUAACCGGCAUGACACCAUGAUCUCCAUCAUCUUGAUCUAUAUCAAUGUGUCGUCACGUGGUCGUCUCGCCAACAAGUGCUCUUGCAACUAUUGCUAUCGCAUAGCGAUAAAGUAAAGCAAUUAUUGGGCGCUUGCAUCUUAUGCAAUAGAGAGACAACCAUAAGGAUUUUGCCAGUUGCCGAUAACUUCAACAAAACAUGAUCAUCUCAUACAACAACUUAUAUCUCAUCACGUCUUGACCAUAUCACAUCACAACAUGCCCUGCAAAAACAAGUUAGACGUCCUCUACUUUGUUGUUGCAAGUUUUACGUGGCUGCUACGGGCUAUAAGCAAGAACAAAUCUUACCUACGCAUCAAAAACCACAAUGAUAGUUUGUCAAGUUGGUGCUGUUUUAACCUUCGCAAGGACCGGGCGUAGCCACACUCGGUUCAACUAAAGUUGGAGAAACUAACACCCGCCUGCCACCCGUGUGCAAAGCACGUUCGUAGAACCAGUCUCGCGUAAGCGUACGCGUAAUGUCGGUUCGGUCCGCUUCAUCUAACAAUACCGCCAAACCAAAGUAUGACAUGCUGGUAAGCAGUAUGACUUAUAUCGCCCAUAACUCACUUGUGUUCUACUCGUGCACAACAUCAACACAUAAAACCUAGGCUCUGAUGCCACUGAUGGGGAACGUAGUAAUUUCAAAAAUUUCCUACGCACACGCAAGAUCAUGGUGAUGCAUAGCAACGAGAGGGGAGAGUGUUGUUUACGUACCCUCGUAGACCGAAAGCGGAAGCGUUACGACAACGCGGUUGAUGUAGUCGUACGUCUUCACGGCCCGACCGAUCAAGCACCGAAACUACGGCACCUCUGAGUUCUAGCACACAUUCAGCUCAAUGACGAUCCCCGGACUCCGAUCCAGCAAAGUGUCGGGGAAGAGUUCCGUCAGCACGACGGCGUGGUGACGAUCUUGAUGUUCUACUGUCGCAGGGCUUCACCUAAGCACCACUACAAUAUUAUCGAGGACUAUGGUGGAGGGGGGCACCGCACACGGCUAAGAAAACGAUCUUGAAGAUCAACUUGUGUCUAGAGGUGCCCCCUGCCCCCGUAUAUAAAGGAGCAAGGGGGGAGGAGGCCAGCCCUAGGAGGGGCGCGCCAGGGGAGUAGGAUUCCUACUCCUAGUUGGAGUAGGUUUCCUCCUUUCCUAGUCCAACUAGGAGAAGGGGGAAAGGGGGGAAGAGGGGAAGGAAGGGAGAGAGGGGCCACGCCCCAAACCCCUUGUCCAAUUCGGACUAGGCUUGGGAGGGGCGCGCGCCACCUCCUGGUCCUUCCCACUAAGGCCCAUUAAGGCCCAUUGCUUCUUCCUCGUAUUCCCGUAACUCCCCGGUACCUCCGAAAAUACCCGAAUCACUCGGAACCUUUCCGAUGUCCGAAUAUAGUCGUCCAAUAUAUUGAUAUUUACGUCUCGGCCAUUUCGAGACUCCUCGUCAUGUCCCCGAUCUCAUCCGGGACUCCGAACUCCUUCGGUACAUCAAAACUUAUAAACUCAUAAUAUAACUAUCAUCGAAACCUUAAGCGUGCGGACCCUACGGGUUCGAGAACAAUGUAGACAUGACCGAGACAUGUCUCCGGUCAAUAACCAAUAGCGGAACCUGGAUGCUCAUAUUGGCUCCCAUAUAUUCUACGAAGAUCUUUAUCGGUCAGACCGCAUAACAACAUACGGUGUUCCCUUUGUCAUCGGUAUGUUACUUGCCCGAGAUUCGAUCGUCGGUAUCUUAAUACCUAGUUCAAUCUCGUUACUGGCAAGUCUCUUUACUCGUUCCGUAAUACAUCAUCUCUCAACUAACUCAUUAGUUGCAAUGCUUGCAAGGCUUAUGUGAUGUGCAUUACCGAGAGGGCCCAGAGAUACCUCUCCAACAAUCGGAGUGACAAAUCUUAAUCUCGAAAUACGCCAACCCAACAUGUACCUUUGGAGACACCUGUAGAGCACCUUUAUAAUCACCCAGUUACGUUGUGAUGUUUGGUAGCAUACAAAGUGUUCCUCCGGCAAACGGGAGUUGCAUAAUCUCAUAGUCAUAGGAACAUGUAUAAGUCAUGAAGAAAGCAAUAGCAACAUACUAAACGAUUGGGUGCUAAGCUAAUGGAAUGGGUCAUGUCAAUCACAUCAUUCUUCUAAUGAUGUGAUCCCGUUAAUCAAAUAACAAGUCUUUUGUUCAUGGUUAGGAAACAUAACCAUCUUCGAUUAACAAGCUAGUCAAGUAGAGGCAUACUAGUGACACUCUGUUUGUCUAUGUAUUCACACAUGUAUUAUGUUUCCUGUUAAUACAACUCUAGCAUGAAUAAUAAACAUUUAUCAUGAUAUAAGGAAAUAAAUAAUAACUUUAUUAUUGCCUCUAGGGCAUAUUUCUUUCAAUAUGCUAGGUAUAUAAGAUUAAUAAUAAAAUUCUCUUAUGAGUGUGUUGAAUACUAUGAGAAGUUUGAUACUUGAUAAUUGUUUUGAGAUAUGGAUAUGGUGAUAUUAGAGUCAUGCUAGUUGAGUAGUUGUGAAUUUGAGAAAUACUUGUGUUAAAGUUUGUGAUUCCCAUAGCAUGCACGUAUGGUGAACCGUUAUGUGAUGAAGUCGGAGCAUGAUUUAUUUAUUGAUUGUCUUCCUUAUGAGUGGCGGUCGGGGACGAGCGAUGGUCUUUUCCUACCAAUCUAUCCCCCUAGGAGCAUGCACGUAAUACUUUGCUUUGAUAACUUGUAGAGUUUUGCAAUAAGUAUGUGAGUUCUUUAUGACUAAUGAUGAGUCCAUGGAUCAUACGCACUCUCACCCUUCCACCAUUGCUAGCCUCUCUAAUACCGCGCACCUUUCGCCGGUAUCAUACACCCACCAUAUACCUUCCUCAAAACAGCCACCAUACCUACCUAUUAUGGCAUUUCCAUAGCCAUUCCGAGAUAUAUUGCCAUGCAACUUUCCACCAUUCCGUUUAUCAUGACACGCUCCAUCAUUGUCAUAUUGCUUUGCAUGAUCAUGUAGUUGACAUUGUAUUUGUGGCAAGGCCACCGUUCAUAAUUCUUUCAUACAUUUCACUCAUGAGUCAUUGCAUAUCCCGGUACACCGCCGGAGGCAUUCACAUAGAGUCAUAUCUUGUUCUAAGUAUCGAGUUGUAAUUCUUGAGUUGUAAGAAAAUAAAAGUGUGAUGGUCAUCAUUAUUAGAGCAUUGUCCCAAGUGAGGAAAGGAUGGUGGAGACUAUGAUUCCCCCACAAGUCUGGAUGAGACUCUGAACGAAAAAAAAA
rnacentral:lncRNA from 1 species